rnacentral:lncRNA from 1 species
UACGGGGGACUAAUGUUCGUUGGCUUUCAAUGUUCCCUUUAAUAGAGGGAAUACGAGCGUGCUAAGGCUAGAGAAGCCAAACUCGUCCAUAUCCCAUAUCCAAGGGGUUUUUCCUAGUCUAAUCAAGCAAAUGUAUUACCCUAGGUCUAAUGCUUAGAUGGCAUGCAAGUCUAAUGUCAUGUUUCAUACAAAGGGGUAAGUAAUAUACAUAUAAGGAAAAAUAUGGGGAAAGGUAUAUACGUAUAAGAAGGGAUGAUAAAAGACCCUAAAAGUAAAAAAUAUGCAUGAGAAUAUAAUGUAGUCAUACAAACAUGAUAUAGCGUAGGAGGUCCCUAAGGGUUUAGCGCUGGACUAGCCCAUAUCUAUGAAUUCCUACUAGCAUUGGACUAGUGGAAAAUCGGAAUGAAGGGCCACAACUAGCGUUGGACUAGUGUGGUGACGUCACGCAUUCAUUACAAUCAAAUAAAUCAUGUAAAGUCUAAUAAAGCAAAUAAACACAUAAAUCACAUAUAGCACAUAACACAUAAGCAUGGUGUCUAGAUGCAAGACCCUAGGAAAGCGAGUAACACAUAACACAUAGGCAUGCAAAAACAUACAAGGCAAAUAAAGCAAAUAAAACCCUAACUAUUACAUUCGGGGAACCCUACUACAAUCUAAAAGGGGAAAUAAAAUAAAUAAUAAAAAGGAAUACCUAACUAUUACAAAUUUGGCAUUCAAGUGCCUUCCAAAUGAUCAAAUUGAACUAAAAUAAAUAUACAAAGCCAAUAAAGCAAAUGAAUGAAAUGAAUAAAACAUUCAAGAGGCAUACAGUCAAACAUGUAAAGUCAUAUAGGGCACGUAGGGUCACAUAAAAUAAGAAGUAAGGGAUAGGGGGUACCUCCCUUGAAGUGGGGCUCUAACAGAAUGAAAUUACUUAGUUAUCCUCCAAAAUCAAAGAAAAGGUCAAGGUAUCGCUUUAAUGAACAAGUAAUCACAAGAAAUGAGAAUAAGCAUGAAAUUCAAGGCAUUUAAAGGAAGGUGAACAACCCACGUAAAGAUUAAAACAAGUAGUGACUUAAUUGCAAAAACUAAAAAAAUUUGAGAGGUCAACUUGAUUGAUUUUUCAAUUGUUUGGGCCAUGGUGAAACAAGAGGAAACUUGGGGGGUUAAAAUGCAAUUCUUGGAACAUUUCCCAUGCAAAUUUCCAUGCAAAGCUACGGAAGCAUUGUCUGCAACAAAAACAUUUCUAAUGACAAGCAUUCUGCAACUAAGAAAACACAGCCGCAAGUCAUUUUCGCACGCCGCCUUCCACCUCAAGCACAACUUUGAUCAAAAACUUUCAACCAACACAUUUAAACCUUAAUCUAAAACCAGAUAAACACAAUUAUCCCAAGCCAAACAAGCAAAAAACUUGGAAAAGACAUCAUGCAAAUCUGGAACACAAAAGCUCCACUCUUUGUCUGCUAAUGAUGCUUCCUUCUGCAAUUUUUCUGCUGCAACUUUGCAGCUCAACUCACGCAAACUUCACACCAAAAAGAUGCACCAAACGUGCGAGUUUAUCAACCCAAAACCAAUAAAAGUCUCAACCCAUUUAGCUAACACAAACUGGACAAGAUUCUUGAUUUGUCGAAAAAGAGAAAACAUGCAACCACAAAAGAAAACAUGAAACCAGAAUCAAACAAAUGUGAGCUCAGACUUUGGUUAGAACAGCUAAAAUCCUAAAAAUGAAGCAGGCCACGGCUGCAACAGUUUUUAACUACUUGUUGCAGUCUAAUGGUAUGCCGCCCAUUGCUAAUUGAAAUGGUAAGCAGGCAUAUACAUGGCAUCACCAUCACCCAGCACGCCAAAGCAAAAGAAAAGCUAAGCCCAGCUAGUGUUUUCAGCAAUCCAAACAAGUAAAAAAAAAUUCAACCCCAGAAAUGAAAUCUUCUUUGCAAAAACAAAACACGGAAGACCUUGACUGACUUCAAGUGCAACUACUACUUCAACCCUCUUUCACUAAUUCGACUGCAAUGAAUUACAGACUAAGACUUCAACAAGUAAAUCAUCCCAAACCCAACCAAAGUUUGGUAGCCGUGCAAGCUAACAACAGGAACAUCUACGGAACUCUAACUCAAACACUUCGAGGAAGCAAAACUAAAGUCCAACCAUGACAACAAACCAGAUCCAUUCAACAGGCUUUCUAUCCAUUUUUAUUUUCAUUAGCAAACGUAUAGACCAGGUGGAUCAGACUCCAGACAAACAACAAAAAUUGGACACUUACUCCAUUCAACACUGAAACUCAACAUCAAAGUUACACAAACGACAAUAAAAAAAAGAACUGGAACGGCGAUUAAAGAAACAUUAGAACAUAUUUUUCUCGAAACCUCAUGCCAUUUUCUGAGUUGUUUGCUCAAAUGCAUGAAAAACAGCCAUAAACAUCAACAUCCCACAUAUUCAUCAGAUAAAACUUCUAGAAAAACCCAUAAACUCAUCAUCCGGAUUCAAUACUAAACACCCAAAAGUACGAAAAUCUGGGUUGGGGAAACAGCUUGCAAAACCAGAUUUGUUUAUGAAACUUUUUACAAAUGGAAUGGGUUUGUUGCUAACUACAAGAAACAUGAGAUAAUUUCUACACAAAAGGUCUCAAUGAUCCACAUUAACGCAAAACCCAGAUGCAAGGAGAUAGGGCAAAGAUCUGAACCAACCACGUAUGAAAAAGAAAACACCGAAGGUAGAGAAAAACAAAACCAUGAAACCAGAAAACCAAUCAGCAUAGAAUGUAAAUCUGAGUAUAUGUAAGUGAAGGAUAGUGGAAAGAAAGGGUUACCUUGAAGAUCUUAACACCGAAUAUGUGGAACCCGUGAGCGUUGAAGAUGAUCGUUCUCCACAGAAAUCGAAAGGGGCUUGCUACUGGCUCUGAUGAAGGCAACGCAAAAAUCUGGAGUUUUCUGGGUUUUUUUUCCGCAACUUCCUUUGCCCAGAUUUUCCUUUUCCUCUCCCGAAAAUUUCUUCUCCCAAUCACCCUUUUUGCUCUCGGUUAUGCCUUCCAAGCUUUCUUCUUCUAUUUCCUUGCUCUGUUUUUUCUUUCUCUUCCGACCGCUUCUCUCUUGCUCACUCCCCAAAACCCUCGCCGUUUCUCACAGCCGACCUCUUCUCUGUUUCUUUUUUUCUUUUUUCUUCCGUCUUGCCCAGAUUUUUCCUUUUCAGUCCCUUUUUGCCUUGUCCGCCACCCAUCUUGUCUUUCCUCUCUGUUCUUUUUCGUUUCUUUUCCACCCCCCGCUGACUGUUAUUCGAUUUCCCUAGCUUUUCCUACCCAACCGCCAACUAUCCUCUCCCUAUGUUUCUUGCCGUCUUUCUUUCCUUUUAUAGGGGAACCAUGACCCCCUAAACCCUCACCUCAAAUGUGAGGAUGAAGGGUUGGUUCCUCCCCAUAUCCUCAGCCAUCCGAUUCAUCAGAAAAAUCACCCAUGAAAAUGAUAUCAUUUCCCACGCUGCUGCAUGCGCGGCUUCUUUUUUUUUCACUUAAUUAAACAACAAUAAUACAAAAUAAAACUUAAAUAAAAUGUACAAAACUUGUAACAAAAAAUAAAACAAAAAGGUAAGAUUUUUCCUGUGUUGGAUUAAUGAUUUUUCCUCUCUUUUUUCUUUUAAUAAUAAACUUGCAUAAAAUAAAAUCUAACAGAGAUAAUGCCCAUUUUCGAGACCAUUUUCCAGCAACUCUUUAACACUAAAAAAAACCUAUGAAUAUAAAAAUAAAAAUAAUGCUAUAAAAUGCUAAAAGGUGCCUUAAAACAAAAAAUAGAUAAUAGUUAUUACUAAAAGCAAAAAUAAAAUACAUAAGUUAAAAAUUUGGUGUCUACACUGCCAUUAAAGAGACCAAAGAUCUAAAUUCUAUACUUUUUGAAUUUCUUAUUAAUUCGCUAAUCUCUUAUAAGUUGAACUUUAAAUCCAAGGUACAAGAGGAAGAGGAUGCAAAGUGAGAAGGAGCAUUGCUCUAAAAGUAUAUCAAGAUGAAGAUGACUCGGCCUUCUUGGAUGGAGAUGAUGCGAAAGUUGACGACAAUGAUCUUGCUCUUAUCACAAGAAGUUUCAAAAGAAUUCUCAACAAGAGAAGAUCCAGAAAGGGAGGACCCAACAAUUCAUCUUCAAAUCAAUUCAACAUUGCAAGAAACAAAGGAAAGCAAGAGGCUAAUAAAAAGCAAACUGACAAGUGUUUUGAGUGCGGCCAAUUGGGACAUUACAUGAAUGAGUGCCCAAUGAAGAAGAAGAAAGAAGGAAAUGUUGAACGAAAACCUAGAUUCAACAACUUUCAAAUCACUAGGAAAUUCUAUGCCUAUUGAAUCUCUUAUUAAUUCUCUAACCUCUUAUGAGUUGAAACUUAAAUCCAAGGUAUAAAAAGAAAAGGAUGCAAAGGUGAGAAGGAACAUUGCUCUAAAAGCAUUUCAAGAUAAAGAUGACUCGACCUCCUUAGAUGGAGAUGAUGUGAAAGUUGACGACAAUGAUCUUGCUCUUAUCAUAAGAAGUUUCAAAAGAAUCCUCAACAAGAGUAGAUUCAAAAAAGGAGGAUCCAGCAAUUCAUCUUCAAAUCAGUUCAACAUUGCAAGAAACAAAGGAAAGCAAUGGGCUAGUAAAAAUAAGUUGACAAGUGCUUUGAGUGCGGCCAAUUGAGACACUACAUGAAUGAGUACCCAAUGAAGAAGAAGAAAGAAGGAAAUGUUGAACGAAAACCUAGAUUCAACAACUUUCAAAUCACUAGGAAAUUCUAUGCCUAUUGAAUCUCUUAUUAAUUCUCUAACCUCUUAUGAGUUGAAACUUAAGUCCAAGGUAUAAAAAGAAAAGGAUGCAAAGGUAAGAAGGAACAUUGCUCUAAAAGCAUUUCAAGAUAAAGAUGACUCGACCUCCUUAGAUGGAGAUGAUGUGGAAGUUGACGACAAUGAUCUUGCUCUUAUCAUAAGAAGUUUCAAAAGAAUCCUCAACAAGAGUAGAUUUAGAAAAGGAGGAUCCAGCAAUUCAUCUUCAAAUCAGUUCAACAUUGCAAGAAACAAAGGAAAGCAAGAGGCUAGUAAAAAAUAAGUUGACAAGUGCUUUGAGUGCGGUCAAUUGAGACACUACAUGAAUGAGUACCCAAUGAAGAAGGAGAGAGAAAGAAAUAUUGAACGAAAAUCUAGAUUCAACAACUUUCAAAUCACCUAAAAAUUUUAUGCCUAUUGAAUUUCUUAUUAAUUCUCUAAUCUCUUAUGAGCUGAAACUUAAGUCCAAGGUACAAGAAAAAGAGGAUGCAAAGGUGAGAAAGAGUAUUGCUCUAAAAGCAUUUGAAAAUGAAUAUGACUCGGCCUCCUUGGAUGGAGAUGAUGCAGAAGUUAACGACAAUGAUCUUGCUCUUAUCACAAGAAGUUUCAAAAGAAUCCUCAAUAAGAGAAGAUUCAGAAAGGGAGGACCCAUCAAUUCAUCUUCAAAUCAAUUCAACAUUGCAAGAAACAAAGGAAAGUAAGAGGCUAAUAAAAAACAAGCUGACAAGUGUUUUAAGUGCAGCCAACUGGGACAUUACAUGAAUGAGUGCCCAAUGAAGAAGAAGAGAGAAGGAAAUGUUGAACGAAAACCUAGAUUCAACAACUUUCAAAUUACCUGGAAUGAUUGCAACUCGAACGGUAAUGUUGAAGAGGAAGAAGAAUCUGCUCAAAUGGCUUUCAUGGCCAUUGGUAAUGAUGAGGUAACUACUUGCAACUCUCAACUUAAUAGUGAUGAUGAAUCUGAUGAAGAUGUUAAUUCCUUUAUUGAGAGACUGCAUGCUAGUUUGAAAGAAUCCUGUGUUAAAAACAAGCAACUAAAACAAAAGAUCAAUUUUCUUAUUCAAGACAGUGCAAACCUUUUCAACAAAACAAGAAUCUGAAAGAUGAAAAUGAUCACUUCAAAAAGAAUGAAACUAGUUUACUUUUUGAACUUGAUAGAAAAAUAAAACUUUAUGAUUUGUUUAAAAAGUAACAAAGUAACUUGAAAAAUAGAAUGGAUUGUCUAAAUGAUUUGCUUCAAUACAAGAAAUAAAACUAUUUUCAAAGGAACGAUUCAAUAUCUUAUUUUGGCAUUCAUAAGAAAACGCUGAAUUCUAGUGCAAACGAAUUUACCAUUUAUAGGAGAAAGCAAGUUAGAUUUGUUAAACCUGUUCAUACAAGUAAUUCGCUGACUAUGUGUAACUUUUAUUGCCAAAUUGGUCACAGAAAGAGUAAUUGCUAUGUCAGGAAGAAUAUUAGAAAUAACAUGAAAUGCAUGUGGAUAGUUAGACAUAAUGCUAAUUCUCAAGAAUCCAAAAGUAAAUGGUAUCAAAUAUUAUCUUGUGAACUUUGGUGUAGGUGAAUUUGGUGAACAUUAUUAAGGAAUCAAAAUGGUUCAUUGAUAGUGGAUGUUCAAGGCAUAUGACCGGUGAUCCAUCACAAUUCAUCAAUCUCAAGUCAAAAUCAAGUGGAAAAGUAACGUUUUGGGAUGAUAACAAAACCAAAAUAGUUAGAAUAGGAGAUGUUGGUAAGAAUGGUCAAACUUUUAUUUAUAAUGUCCUUCUUGUUAAUAAUCUGAGCUAUAAUUUUUAAGUGUUAGUCAAUUAUGUGAUAGAAAUCUGUUUGUGUUAUUCAAAAAGUAUGAGUGUCUUGUUUUUUACUCUAAAUUUAAUAUUAUCUUCAAGGAAAAAAGGAAAAAUGACAUCUACGUAGUUAUUCUCGAAAAUGUUGAUUCAUCUAGUUUUAAAUGUCUUAAAGUUGAGAUGAAGACCCUUGGUUGUGGCAUAGCAGGUCUUGUCAUUUCAACAUGGAUUUGUUAAAAGAAAUUUUCAAAAAAAAACUUGUUUGAGCUUUGUCAAAAAUUAAUUUUGAAAAGGACAAAAUUUGUGAUACUUAUCAAUUUGGAAAGCAAGUAAAAGUUUCUUUUAAAUCCAAAAAAUGCGUUUCUACUUCAAAACUUUUGAAACUUUUACAUCUUAAUUUGUUUGGUCCUACCCAAAUUACUAGAUUGGGUGGUAAAAGAUAUUGUUUGGUUAUUGUUGAUGAUUAUUCUAGAUACACUUGGGUGAUGUUUCUUGCCCACAAAGAUGAUGCUUUCAAAAAUUUUGUUUCCUUAUUUGCAAAAGUUCAAAAUCUGAUUGGGUUGAAAAUUAUUAAAAUUAGAAGUGACAAUGGCCCGAAAUUUAAAUUUUGUGAUUUUUUGAAAUUGUGUGAUCAUAAUGGAAUCACUCAUGAAUUUUCUAUUGCAAGAACUCCACAACAAAAUGGUGUUGCUGAAAGAAAAAAUAAAACUCUUUAAAACUCCCAUUUGGUUAUUUAAUUAGAUUUGAAUUUUAUCCCACCAAUCUGUCAUUUAAUUGGACUUAGAUUUAUCCCACCAAUCUGUUAUUUAAUUGGAUUCGAAUUUUAUUUCACUAAUCUAUCAUUUAAUUGGGUUUGGAUUUUAUUCCACCAGUCUGUUACUUAAUUGAGUUUGAAUUUUAUCUCACCAAUCUGUCAUUUAAAUGAAUUUGAAUUUUAUCCCAUCAAUCUGUCAUUUAAUUGGAUUUUGAAUUUUAUCUCACCAAUAUGUUACUUAAUUGGGUUUAGAUUUUAUCCCACCAAUCUGUCAUUUAAUUAGGUUUGAAUUUUAUCCUACCAAUCUGUUAUUUAAUUGGACUUAAAUAUAUCUCACCAACUUGUCAUUUAAUUGGGUUCGAAUUAUAUCCCAUUAAGAUAGUCUCUAGGAGGAGAGGAGGGUAAGAAAAAACGGCAAAAAGACAGAGACAACAAAAAGAAAGAAAAAAUAGAGGAGAGGAAAGGAAAUUUUCCUGUAACAUUUUUCCGGAAAAGGUUGAUUCUUCAGCCCUAUUUCGACCUAAUUUCCUUCUUCAAUAUAGUUUUAUUUGAGAAGUUUUCGAUUUCUGAACAAUCUAGAAGGUUAGGAGAGCAAGUUUUAUUUAAAAAACUUUUUACAAAAAAAUCUAGAAAGUCCUAGAAUUCAGCCCCAAAAUUGCUGCCAUGCCAUCAUUGUGCUUGCUGCAAUUUUGCUUGAAGUUUCAACAAAUUUGCUUCCCUCGCGUUUUUCUUAUUCUAAUCUGAUUCGAAAUCAUCGUCAGGUAUUCCCAUGACUUUUCCUUACCCUAUUCGAUGUUCAUGCAAGAGAUUUGAGUGUAUUUAUGAGAGUUUAUAUUCAAGAAAAUUGGAUCUAUUUUUUUUUAGGAUAUUUGGUUUUUGGGAUCUUGUUUGAUGUUUAUUUGAAUCUAUAAUGUCAUGAGUUUCGUGUAUAUAAAAAGAUCCAAGUUUUAAAGUUUGAAAAAUGGGGUUCCGGCGAGAUUCCAACCAAGUUCGCCUAAAUUUUUCCAGUUUCCGAUGGAUUGACCCGCCGAAAACCUCAGACUCACCGGAAGUUUCUUGAUUUCUUUUCUUCUAUUUUGGCUUCAAUUAGUUCUGUUUUGUUUUAUUAGGUUUGAACCAUUAGAGUGUAAAUUGGAUGUAUUUUUGGGUUUAGAAAUUAGACAUGGGGUCUAAUACUUUAGCCCAACAUUUCUUUUAGUUUCGAUUUAGUAGUUGGUCCAGUCUUUUCUUCAAUUUUUUCUUUGGGCCGAAGAGGGUCUACGGCCCAAGAAAUAAUAUAAAAAUGGCCCAAAGUUUAUUUUUUGAGAAAUCAGAAAAACAAAUGUUGCAAUUAAGUCCCUGAUCUUUCAAGUAAUUUGGCUGUGACCCUAAAAUUUUAAAUUUCUUUCAAUUAGAUCCUUACUUUAAUUCUAUUUUGGUCCCUAAAUUUUAUAUUUUAUUCAAUUUUGACCCUUUUUAAAAUUAUAAUUUGACCCCAAAAACUUUUCAAUUUUUACAAUUGAUUAAUGGUUUUGAUUUCUUAAUUAUAAUUGUUUAUCUUCUUUAAUUGUUAACUAUGCUUCAUUUAAAUGUAUUUAAUUAGUAAAUUUUAGAAAUUUUAUGUUUAUUCAUAUUUCUUUAAAAUAAUAAAGUGAAUUUGUUAUAUAUUUAUAUAUUUUUAAAAUAAUUAAUUAAAUUGGUGUCUUGACCAUUUUGUUGGUUAUGGAAUAUAAAUAGGGCAAACUCUACAUCAUUUAACCAUUGUUUCAAGGGAGGUACCCUCUAUUGUCUUUUAAGUUCUUUUUAUAUGCCCAUAUGUAUUUUUUGUGUGAUUGUAUAUUUUAAGUGCCUUUUCUUUUCUUUUAUUCAUUUUUUAGCUUUCAUUUAUUUUAUUUAAUUUUUUAUGAUUAUUUGGGAGGCAUUUAAAUGCCAAAUUGUAAUAGAUAGUUGUUCAAGAAAUGUAUUUAGUUAAGCCAUAUAAUAGAUAGAUUUUAUUUUUGUCAAAAUAUAAUUAAUUAGAUAAGUGUAAUAGAUAGGUUUGUUAUUUUCAAAAUCCCCCUUUUAGAUUGUAGUUAGGGUUCCCAAUGUAAUAAUUAGGUCUUAUUUGUUUGCACGCUUGUGUGUUUGUGUACUUAUGUAUUUUUCACUUUCUUAGAGUUUUUGCAUCUAAAUAUUAUGUCUAUGUGUUAUGUGUACAUGGUUUAUGUGUUUAUUUGCUUUAAUUAUGUUUUAUAUACUUUAUUUAUUUAUAAUGAACGGAUGACAUCACCACACUAGUCCAAUGCUAGUUGUGGCUGUUUCUCGAUUUCUCAAUAGUCCAAUGCUAGUGAGGAUUUGUAGAAAUGGGUUAGUCCAAUACUAGACCUUUUACACUAUCGAUACGCUAGAUUCAUGUUUUGGUGUGACAUUUAUUGCAUCUUACGCAUUUUUUUCCCAUUUUAGGUUAUUUUCAAUUGUAUGAUAUUUCUCCUACUAUUAUUCCCUUAUCCUCUAUAUGUUUUGACCAUAUCAUUUAGAAUUGUAUCUCAUUCUAGAAAAUUAGAAGUAAGCUAAUCCAUUUACUUGACUAGAUUAGAAGAAUCACCCUUCAAAUAUGGGAAAUGAACAAGUAUGACUUCUUAGUUUUAGCACACUCUUAUCGCCUCUAUAAGAAGGAAAAUUGAGUCACAAAUUUUAGUCUCCCAUAUCGGUUAUAUUGCAUUCCCUUCUUUUAGAUCAUAUAUAUUUAUUUAUAUAUUCUAACUUUUUUUUUUUGAAUCUCAUUUUUUGCAUAUUUGUGACAUCUUCAACGGAUUAUUUUUGGAUUUCACAAUUAAUGUGACUUGUACCAAUUAAGUUUCAAAGAGACAUUUCAUCUCUUUCGAUAGCCCUUAGGUCUAGAUUUGCGUCCAUAUAGAAGCAUCCAAAUGUGAUAAGUUUUAUAGGUUAGAUUAGAAAAAUUUUUGACUAAAUCCUGCAACUAGCCUUGACUAGGUUGAAAGGGUGCCUUAAUCAAAAUCUUGACCUUACUUUCUUCAAUCGUGACUCCCGAACUCAUUUUCGAAGACUUAAAAUAGUCUGAAAGGGUUUUAUUUACUUCUUUUCAUUUUCAAAUAUUUUGGACAACUUGGUACACCUAAAUUCGAUACCAAGUGGUGAUUUUAUUUUUUUCUAAAAAUCCUUUUUCAAUUAUUAUUUUGGACCCAAACAGUCACAUUUUCUUUGUCCCAUUUUAGCCCGCUUUUCUUUAUUUUCUAAAAUAAAAUAAAAACUCAUUUUAAACUCACUAUUUCUCUUUUAUUUUUCAAAAAAUGGGGCGUGAUAAUCAAUAAAUGUGAUAUACAUUUAAAUGUAUUUGAUUUAACAUUUAACAAUUCAACAACUUAAUAGAUUCAAAUUUCAAAUUUCAGUUUUCAAAGUUCAUUUUUAUCAAACGCAUCCUUAGUCUAUAUUCUACCUUUAAUAGGGGCCAUGAGUGCAUGGCAGAUAUCAUGGUGUAUUCUAGAUUGACUAUCCUGGGCUUUAAGGAAAGUAACUUAAUUUGAAAAGGAGAAUUAUAGCUUUGGUAUGCAAUAUUUGAUUUAUGUGCCAAAUUUGUUCUCAAUGAGUCGGUCAAAACAAAUUUAAUCCCCAAAGUUUGUAAUUUUAGGUAAACUUAGGACUAAUAGUGGAAAUGGAAUAAUGGUUAAGGGCCAACAUCAAAUUGUUGUUAGUCAAUAAAUUUGACUUUGCAAUUUUGGUCUCCAAUGUUUCGAGUUUGAGUCAUUAUUUUUUUUAAUUUUUAAAUAGUGAUAUUAAGAAUUUUAACAUAAAUUGGGAUCCAAUUUAGAAUGAAACGGUAUUAAAUGGUUAAUAAAAAUUAUAAUUAAACUUUUUUCUUUUUUUUUAUUAUUUCAUUUAUUCAUACUAAUAAUAUAUCAAAUGUUUCUUUUCUUUUGCAUAAUUUAUAUUUUAUUUAUCUUUUUAUUUUUAUUUCACUUAUUCAUGCUAAUAUUAUAUCAUAUUUUUUUAUUUUUCCUUCUUUUUAUUUCCUUUUGCAUACUUUAUGUUUUAUUUUUUUAUUGGUAUAUUAUUGCCUAAGUUUAUGCAUAAAAUAUAAUAGUAAUAAAUAAAACAUAAAGUAUUGGAAGAAAGGAUGUGAGGACUCGUAAAAAAAUUAGUAUUUUUCGACUCCUACUUUUGCUUAUUUAAUUAUUUAUCUGAAUAUUUACUCCGAUUAUUAUUUUCUAACCUUAUUAGACUUAAAUACAUGGAAUUAUGACUUCAUUAUAUUUUUAAAGUGACUUGCUUCAAAAAUUAAUUUUUUUUAGAAGCUCGAUUAAUGAAAAUAGUGAAAACGUGUUUGAAAAUUUUAGCCAAUUGGGAGUACAAUAAACUCGGAAAUUGGAGACAUGUACGAUGGUCCAAAAAUAGGUAAUUUUAGGUUUAAGUACUCAAGUGAUAGUUAGUGGUACGAUCGUUAUAAGAAUUUCUCGAAGGUUUCACUUUAUCGCGCCUAAUUUGGAAAUACGCGUUUUCACGCGCGCGAUUAAUUGAGGGAAUUUAGACCAUUAUUUUGGAAAAAUUAAGGGUGAAUAAUAUUUAUAUGAAUAUAAGUGUAUUAGAGGUUUAGUGCACUAGUGAAAUAAACUCGAGAGGAAUCGAGCCAAAACGCGCGCGUACGCGCACUAUUAGAGAGUUGACUUUUGCACAAAUAUGGGCCACACAAAUGAAUCUUCCUUAGGAAGCUAAAUUUGAUCAAAAUACUCUCUCUCCUCACCUCUCUUUGGCCGGCCAACUCAAGGGAAAAGAACACCAUUGUUCUUCAAAAUUUUCUUCACAAAACUUCACCAAUCUUCAUCCAACUCACACCAAAUUUCACCCACACUUAGCUCUACACUUGGAGACCUUAUUGAGCUGCAAAAAGGAGCUAACAUUCACGGUUUUGCUGGAGCAAAAAGGACUGAAAUCACUGCCUUGGACAUCAACUAGAGUAAGUGAUGAUCUAAACCUAGAAACUUGGUUUAUAGAAGUUGAUUUACACUUAUGAGCUUAGUUAUUCAUGUGGGUAGCUUGUUAUUGUUGGAAAAUUUUGAAUGUGGGCUCUAUGAACUCCCACUCUUGGAUGAUGGCUGAUGUGAUGAUUGAUGAUGGAUUUAAUGUUGGUUUAGUGCUCAAAAUGGUAGAUUAAUGGUGUAUUAUUAGUAUAAACUUCAAGGAGUGCAUGGGGUAAAACGUUCCGAUUCUGCCCCUGCUUUGAACGUACCUAUUUCUAUGGAAUUUUGGGGAUUUAAUGGCUGGUAUAUGAUGUUUAUAUGUUGUAUAGAUGGUGUAUAAAAUUUCAUUAAAAAAUAUUGAGGUUUGGUUGGUCAAAUGGAUUAAUUUUGUGAAGCUAGUAAAUCUGGAAAACUGUUCCCGUAAUGCUCAGACAGCUCACUUGUUUCAUCCAUAACUCUGUACUCCGAUAUCAAAAUCGAGUGCCAUCAAUGGAAUUUGAAACUAGACAUUCCCAGCUUUCCAACGGUAUAAAAUGCAACCCCUAAUUCCACCCGAGUAUUCCGUACCAACCGUUUUAAGAUGACUGUCCUGUUUCUCUGUUUUCCUAGAACGAAGUACAGAGGUUGCAACUUGAGGCUCAAAUUUGAGCUAGUUUUGUGCUGAAUUUCAAAAUGAUUUCUUCUGUGAAAUUAUAGUUUUAUGAAUUUAUUUUCCAACGCCACUAACCAUGCUUAAUUCCGAGUUGAAUUGAGUAAUUUGUGAUCAAAAUACGAAACCUACCCUGUUCUUGAAAACCCUAAAUUUUGGGCAAAGUAAAUGUUAGACUUGGUGUAGACUUACCAAUUGAAUUUCUUGGAAUUAAAACACUUACCAAAUGUACCACGAAUGUUCCUCAGGUUUUUUCCACACAAAUAAACCAUGUUUGAAGAAUUUUCCUUGACCAAAUGUUUGGAAUGGAAAACAAAAAGCUCAAGGCAGUUCUACCUUGGGAUUUUUCGAAACUUUAGUUGUUUGGUUGACUACCUUUCCGAAGGUAUUUUUCCAUGAAAUUUGAUAGAGGGACACCCUUUAUAUAGGAGUAUUAUACUGCCAAAUUUGGUACCAAUCCGAGUCCAUUUCGCUACUCGACUAAAUUACCAAAUUUCAAGACUUAAUUUUGGAAAACCCUUGUUUAAUAAGGAAAUUUGGGUAACUUUGAGCUACCAUAUCUUGGUACUCAAAACUUCAUUUCUCAUUCAGCUUCUUUUGUUGUAAACUUGGAUUACAACAUCACAGAGUUACGAAUUUCAAAGGCUAGUUUCAAUCAAGUGAAUUUUGCCGAAUUUUCAAAGUUGGCCAAAAACCAACUUAAAUCUGCCUUAUGAACCAAAUCAGCGUCUUUGAGCUCAUUUUUGAAUGUUUUUCAUUUGGAAUCUUAGAAAAGUGUAUUCUAAGAACUUUUAGUACUUUCAAAUAGGUUUCCAACGGCACCAAGUUUUUCAAUUUUUGACAUGUAGAAUGUGAGAUACGAUUUUUCAAAGUAUCGUAUCAAACCUGAAGUUUUUCCAAAUUCCAAGGGAAGGGAGUUUUCAAGUACUCCUUAUUCCUUCAAUAUUUCUUGAACGUUUUAUACUUGCUUUCCCAAAAUGAAAACUCGAUUACCCGUGUACUUUAAGAAACUCCAUUUAAACCUCGAUUUACGAGUAAUUGAGGUUCGUUUUCAUGAAAUUUCCUUAGAUUGUACUAGUGUACAACCUUCCUUGAUAAUUGGGAUAUAUGAGUGAUACUUCACUAUUAUUUGCUCAAGCGCACACGAGGACCCUCAAGAGGAUCCCACGGUGAACGCUUAAAUUUCGGUUGAAACUACUUACUACUUGGUGAGUGUCAAGUGCAUGUUUACUUGAAUUCCUGUGAACUUGAUACAUGCUUGUCUUGCUUAAUCUACCUGGUUUUGAUAAAAUGGAGUCGAGUGUCUACUUUAUCGCACUCGUACUCAUUUGAAAUAAUUGAUUUAUGCUUGGCCUGACUUGCUAGACUUACAUAUCCUGAAUUACAUGCUUGGACCUGUCAAAUACUUGUAUACAUGACUUGGUAUGCUAUGAGUGCAUAUGUCGUUGGAGUGAAUCUCUUCGACAUUUACAUGUACAUGGGGGACGCCCAAACUCAUAGGCCGACCUUGGAACUCGAGUCGGCAUUGGUUUGGUCGGAAACCUCGGUGAGCCAUGAGAUUCACAUGAUAAGCUUGAUCUAUUGAGAGAUCUUUCUUGGCAUACUCGUGGAGUAUCGUCUUAUAAAUGUCGUACGGGCCCGGAGCGGUGUACGGUGGACGGAUGGGAAGUUAGUGGAGUUCUACGGAUUGGAAAUACUGACCCGGUUGACGGAGUGUCAUCGCGGGGAGGUAUACGAAUGUCAUCGACACAGCAAGUGGAACUUAGCUCUUGAGAGCUACUAUAUCCUUGAAUUGUUUCUGUUUACUUUUACUGGCUUUAUUAAUUACUUGUAAUUAUCUCUUAAACUGUUAUUUGUGACUGUUAUCUUGACUACUUGCUUGCAUGUGUGUUCUUGGCCUCACGAGCGUUUUGCUCACCCUGUAGAUUUGUUUUCCUUAACAAGAUUGAACUCGGAGAUGUAUUGGAGAAACCCUCCUGAUGUACUUUUGUUUAGGAUUUCUACUAUAUUUUGGCUAUGCCUUUGGUUUUGGCUUGUACUUUUGGAAUUGAAAUGUAACAUUUGGGGCGUGAUGUAUAUUUGAAAUUUAUGAUGUACUUUGAACACCCGACGUGCGGGUUGGAUAAUGGAUGACUAUUGUUAAACUUGAACGCUUCCGCAUUUACUAUAUUUAAGUUAUUUACUUGUGUUGUGUAGACUGGUAAUAAGCUUGAAUGGAGUUGCUUGAGUCAUGGCGAGAGUUGGGCAGGCGUCCCGCGGAUACCCUUUAGUUCGCUUUAGGGAGAAGUGGGGCGUCACAAAGGAGAAUUCUAGUUUUAUAAUCCAAGUUUAUUAUAGUUAUUACUACAAAAAUUGUUGAAUGUCUUGUGCUCAUAAGCUUCAAAUUUUUGUAGUUAGCCAUUGUAUUUAUAAGAACUAGUGAAGGUAAAUAUCAAAAGUAAUUUUAGGAAUUCUUAAGAAAAUAUCUUUUAUUUUUAUAUGUCCUACCGAUUAAAAACUAAUGCUUCAAUAUUGUAAUUUUAAAGUAUUUAUUUUAAUAUUUAUGUACUUUGAUAAUCAUUUUAUGAGUCAUAUGAUGUAUAUAAAAUGCCAACUUUAUUUCAAACUCAAUUCAUAACCUAAUAAAAUGCAAAAAAAAAAAGAACAACUUAAUUUACAAAAAUAUAGUAUUCCUUAUAUUUUAAAGGGAUAUUUAAUUAAGUUUUUUUUAUUAUCGUUAGAAAUAAAAAUAAUUAAAUUCAUUAUCAAUUAAAUAUUGGUAGUGAGAAACAAUAAUUUUAUACGUAUAUUAUUCCAAAUUUGAUACUAACUAUGCAAAAGAAAAGAAACAUAUGAUAUAUUAGUAGCAUGAAUAAAUGAAAUAAAAAUAAAGAAGAGAAGAAGAAGGUUUAAUUAAAAUUCUUAUUAUCCAUUUAAUAAUAUUUCAUUUUAUUUAUAUCUCAAUUCAUACUAAAACUCUUACUAUCGCUAUUUAAAAAUAAAAAAAUAUAAUGAUUCAAAAUCAUAACAUUGGAGACCAAAAAAUACAAAGUCAAAGAUGUUGACUAACGGUAUUUUGAUGUUGACCGUUAGCCAUUAUUCUAUUUCCAUCAAUUGUCUUAGAUCUGCCAAAAAUCACAAAUUUUGAGAACUAGAUUUGUUUUGACCAAAACAUUGGAAACAAAUUUAGCAUAUAGACCGCACAUUAGGGACUAAAAUUGCAAUUCCCCCUAAUUUGAAAACACUAGAGUUUGGGGUUCUAAUGAGAAAUUGAAUUGUCCAAUUAAAUCGACACGGAUAUCCUUUAGUGAAAGUUAAGAAAAUUUAAAUUCCUAUCAAGAUCAAAAUUGGGCUUUAGUUACAAGGAAGUUCUGGCUGUAUAUAAAUGAAGUUGAAAUUUCAAAUUCAUUUUACUCCAAUAAUAUUUAUGAUCUAUUUGACAUAAAGUCUUCUAUUUUUUUUUUUUAUAGAAAUACUCAUUUCAUUCAUAACAUCUAUACUAAUGUUAGAAAAUACAUCAUCAAAGAUGUUACAGGAAUAACAUAUUCGAGGCAUCUACAAAUACACCAAAUUUGAGAAAAUUACAAAUGUUGCAUUAUAAAUCUCUAACUUAUUCAAAAUGAUAUCAAUAUCUUUUAAUUUAACGAACAUCUAAUGCAUCAAUGCAUCUCUUCUUUCCUAGCCAAAUCCGCUAUUUAUCUACUUUAGACCCAUAUAUUAAGUUGAGAUCUGACAAAAUAGACUCGAAAACUUUAGAAUUGACAAACCAAUCUGAAAAAAAAUUGAGAUUUGAUAAAGGAAAAAGAACCAAAAAAACAUAAAAUAAUAGAAAACGCUUACUAGGAAUCUCACAAGAAAACAAACUCUCACUAGAAAAACUCUAACAUAGAAGAAUUUCUCACUAGAAAACUCUAGAAAAGGAUAAUACUCUUAGUAGAAAUUUUAGGAGAGAUUUUAUUACUUAAAAAAAAAAGAAAUCAUUGAACGGAGGGAUGGAGCCCAAAUGCGACCUCCAUCCUCCAAUAAAUGAAGGUGUUAUUUUGCAUAGUUAUUAAACCCAAUCCGGGAAGGAACCCGGCGAAGGAGGUGGGUCAACGGGUUACUGGUUCAACCGGUGGGUCACCAAAUAUAUUUAAAUAUUAUAUUUCAUAAUUUUUUAUAUAAGAUAUAUGAUAUAAAUUGUAAUAAAUAAUGCCAUAGCAAAAGCUCAUUUAAUUUAAUUUGCUAUAAAAUAAUUAAUUCAUAUAAGAAUCAAUCAAAUAUAAAGUUAUUUAGUAAUACACCAAACUUCAAGUGUAAAAUUUUAUCUAUAUUUAGUGUAAUUAUCUAGCUUAUUUAUGAAUUUUAAGUGUAAACAAUUAUUAAAAAUAAUAUUUGUCUUUAAAAUGAAUUAUGUAAUAUGUUAUUUUUGAAAUCCAUUUUAUAACUUAUAGAGUUUGGAGGGUAAUAAAUUUUUAUUAAAAGAUUCCAAUAUAUUUGUUUUAGAGAAAAAAAAAGAUAGAAUUGAAAACAUAUUUAUAUAUUAUAAUAAAGCUAUUCUAUUAGCAUAUUUCGAAGUAGCCUAUAAGUAUGUUGUAGUGUUGCAAGGUUCGAACUCCAACAAAGGCAAUAAAAUUUUUUGACAAGACCUGGUUCGUUGACAAAACCGGCCGGGUUUCCAGUUUAAUUCGGUCGGAUUGCCGGGUCGUUGACUAGUCAACGGUCUUCUUGCCCAAAUGAUCUAAUUUAAAAUCCGGCCCAGUCCAAUGGCCGGUUCACUGGUUUGACCGGUUCGACCGCCGGACCAGGCCAGAUUUAAUAACUAUGUCAUUUUGUUUGCUAGGAAUGGAGGAAGUUAGGGAGAAGUAGGAGAAAAACAGUCUUCUAAUUUAACUAUUUGCAUUUGAAACCAACAUCUAUACUACCUGUAUCUAUACUAAUUAUAACCGAGAGCAAAAAAUAUUUAAUUAAAUGUGCCACUUUCUAAAUUUUCAAAGAUGUUCUUUAUUCCAUUUCAUUUAAAACAAUCAUUAUCUCAUGCAUUAUUAUUUAUUAUCCCAUGUUAAUUAUGUUAGUUAUUAUUAACUAAUAUAACAUUUUUGGCGUUUUGGCUAAUAUCAUGCUAUUAGUAAUUAACUUUCAGUACUAUAUACUCCCGAAAGUUUCAUAUUUUUUUAAUUUUGAAAUAUCCCAAAAUAUUUGUCAACUUAACAAAAUCAAAGUUACUUUUAAACUUUUUUCAAACGUUAUUUAUACAUUUAUCUAUAUUUCAUACUAAAUUUCUAGACAAUUUUGAAAACAAAUUCACAAACAUCAUCAUCAGCCAAUAUUUUUAAAAGGUUGAAAGCAAAAAAUGCAAUAGACAAUUUAGGAUAGAGAGAAUACUAUUAACUACAAUGUUUCCCUAUUUUAUAUUUAUAGUGCGUUUGAUAAAAUUGAAUUUAAAAAUUGAAGUUCGAAAUUUGAAUCUAUUAAGUUAUUUGAAUAUAUUAAGUUGGAUUUUUGAAAGCAAAUUUUAUCGAGAAAUUCGAUGCCAUCUAAUUAAUUCAAUAUAUUCAAGCAAUUUAUUUUUAUGCUUUUUCAAAUGGAAUACUUGACUCAAACAUCAAAAGCAGCAUUCUCAAAUGGCUAAAGUGCCUGUUAUCUUAUUGACUAGGUAAGCUAUCCCGCGCAAUGCGCGGGCGCCAGGUUGGUGUAUUUAAAAAUUGGUGGAUUAUUUGAUGUGUUAGUAUGUUUUUGGGAUUUUUUCAGAAACUUUGUUUAUAGGAUAUGGUUCUUUUAGCAUUAUCCUAAUUUUUCUUUUUUUUGAGUUUUUUGUGCAUAAUUCAGUAUUUUUUAUGUGUUUUUUUUAUUUUGAAUUUUGUUCAAUGUUCGGAUAGUAUUUGUAUUUUUUAUAUUAUAUGAUAUGAUGGUGGGAUUUGUUUUUUGGUAUUUAUAUGUGUAUAGUUAGUGGUUCUUUGUAUAUAUAUCGUUUUUCUUUCUAUACACAUAAGAAGCACGUGCGGGAUGUACUGUUGAGGAAAUAUGCGGUUGCAUAGUUUUGGCAAUGCGAAGCAUUAUGCUCUGGUAAAGAGUAGAUAUAUUCAAAGGGUGAAAAUUCAUUAAUAACCUUGACGGGAUGUGAUUAUUCCGAGCGUUAGUUUAAGUUCAUUUGGUGAGUGAGUAUUUAUCAGUCUUCGUUGAUUUGCAGGUGGAUAUAUGGCACAUAAUGAUCGAGUGUUUUCAACAGUCCAAGAUCUAUGUCCGGAGCUGGAGGAGGAGCUCAGUAGGUUGAGUAUUGGUUCUGCUAGUGCUUAUCCUAUGCCAAAUUCUUGUCGAAAUCGUCCUGCUGAAUCUGUAGCUCAAUCUCAAGUUACUCAUCUGAUGCUGAAGAACGAGAUUUGUGAUUUGUUUAGGGUUUUAUAUAGGGAGCGAGAGUGGGGACUUGUGCUGGACAGCGGAUUGGUUGCUGGGAGGAGGUUACCAAUGUUAGAACUUAUAGCUUCGAGAAUCAAGUUCGAUGUAGCCGAGGAACUGUUGUUCAUGCCCCGCUCCCCUUCUUUUGACAGCACCGGCAGUAACAAUGACUGAGAGAGUGUUGUUGAGUUUAUGCAGACUUUUGUGUUUAGUAGUGUGUUUAGUAAGUUGAGUGUUAGUUAAUGUGUUUGUUAGCGAUGUGUUAUGUAAUUUCGCUUGGUUUGGCUUUAUUUUUAGUGUACUUGAAUAAUGCAGUAGUGCUUUGUUUUUAUGUAUUAUUAAAUUGAGUAAUAAAAUAGUGUGAAUUUUUGUGAAUAAGUGCGAAUGAAUUGUUUCUUUAUUAUUAAUUGUUUCUUUAUUUUUUGCGUUUCCUUUUUUUAGUUUGUGCGUGUACGUCUGUGCAAGUUCUGUAUAUAAUAUGGAUAAGGUUUGUUUUUGCGCGACACGUGUGUAGUGUGCAGUGAAUUCGUUUGUUUUUUCUUUGUGGAAUCUUUGUGAUCCUGUGUGCAUGUGAUUUUGCGCAGAAGCUUUGGAGCUUUGCGGUAUUAUAUAGGUGAUAUUGUGCUUUAUUGUCUAUAAGUAGAGUGUGUAGAUUUUUUUUCUUAUGGUUGAGCAUUAUCGUUUAGAAAUGGAUUAUAGUCAUAAUCGUUUUGGGGUGUUACGUGAUUUGCAUCCCUAUAUAGACAUAUAUUACUAUUUCGCCUUUGUUAACAAAUUUUAUUUUCUUACAGCAACCACACCUAGUCAAGAAACCAAACCAGCUUCCAAGGCCAGACAAUGUUUAACUCAAAAAUUGGAACUCUUAGCUGAUGAAGCCAAUAAUACUUCCCGUUCUGUCAGUGAAGGCUCUAAGAAGAAGUCCAGGCUUAUGUAGACUGGUGUUAUUUCCUUUUGUGUUAAUAACUACAAAUAGGUAGCUGUACUGUAUAUUGCUAUCAAUUACUUUUUGUUCACCGCCUUAUUCUGCCUCAGAAGCCACGCUACCCAUACCUGAUCCCCUUCUUUUGAACUUUAUUUUGUUUGAUGGUUUAUUCUCCUAGGGGAACUAUGCUGCCAGUACUUGAUUACCUUUGUUGAAACUUGCAGCUAAAAUGAAAAUAGCUUUUAUGUCUUGUUCCAUUGCUGUUCUAACAGGACAUUUUACUGUCAUUUACUUUUUUCCAGCUAUUCCAUCUUUACAUUUCAAUCCGAUGCUCAUUACCCUUCAGUUACACCAGAACACUUUAGUCACAAUUUUACUGAACAGUUAUCUCCUUCUGCAUUAAUUAUUCAGUGGAUAUAACACAUGUAGUAUCAAUUAUAAUAUGUACUUCUCUGAACAUCAGCAUUGUCAUCUACUAAACUACUGGCCCAACACACAACCAAUUAUAUUUGUUCUGCUACGAUAAACAGGCAUCACUUGAUAGUAUAUAUAUAAAUGUCUGUUUCCUCUUCCAUUCCUUCUUACUAUGUGCAUGCCUUUGCUUACAAUUUAUUACAAAUCUCUUUCUUUAUGCUUUCAUAGCUCACACUUAUGCAACUACACUGACCAACUGCUCUCAUCCAUUCGUCUUAACACCUUCAUGGCACAAACAUCUAUCGUUUCUAUGAAUUCCUCUCACAGCACGAACAAUGCUCCACAAACAUAUUGCUUUUUUAUUAGAUGCAAAAACAAAGGACAGGUAAUAAUAUUUGUCUCCAAUGUUAUAGCUUUCUUAUGGUUUUUUCUUCAACUUGCGUUCAAACAUGACCUUCCUUUUUAUGCAACAUACAGCCUUUGCCUGUUGAAUUUCAAAUAUUGCUGAGCCAACACGAUGACACUACAAUCACCUUCAGACAUGGAUUGCAACGAUGGACUAUCUCAGUUAGAAAUAGCUGCUUUGAAGAAGGAUGGAUAGAAUAUUAUCACCAGAACAUAACCAAAGAGCAUGAUAUGCUAUUGCUUCGCCAUGCUGGAGAUCUAAUUUUUGAUAUCAUUCAUUUCUCUGAACUGAAAAAGCAAGUCUAUCUCCGUUGGACAGUUUCCCUACCGAAUCUUUUGCAUCAGCAAAACAGUAUAGGUUCACAAGUUAUAUUUCCCUUUCUAAUUUAGCAUUCUAUAUAUACCACUUACUAUAUUUUACAAUAUUAUUCUUUCGUCUUGUCAGAUCCUACCUUUUUAUCACUUCAUCAGCAAAUUGUUUCGUCAUCGCUAAGCCUGGAUUUCUCUCAAGAUCUAUCCAAUUCAAUCUGCUUUUAUCAGACGUUUGACUCAGCAUAUCCAAAUUCCUUGGUAAUCUUCUUUUCUAUCCACCGUUUCUAAACACCUUUCCUCCGGCAGAAUAAUUGACCCUUCUUCAUUAACUAACUUACAUUCUCUUAUUUGUAGAAACUCCCUCGGUUUGUCGAUCACUUUUUAAAUGGUAACAGAACUCCAACUAUAGUUCUAAAAACUGGCAACAACAUCACUCAAGUUUGAAUAAAGCGCAACCGACUCAAACAAAAUUGGAGAAAGUUUGUUCUGGACCAUCAUCUGCAGCAUAAUGAUACGCUUGUCUUCAUUCCAGAAUCGCAGACAAGCUUUGCUGUUUUAAUCUUUAAUAGUGAUGGAAUUGAGAAGAUUUUCCCUUGGUACAAUAUCUUUCUGCUGUACUUUUAUGGUGGACGGAUAUCCACUUACAUAUGUAAUCCUUCAUUAAAUAUAUAAUCAGUUUAUUAUUAACCUGCUUCUCGACAAAAAAGACUGGUCUGUCUCAUUUUUACUGCAAUACAUAUCCAACAAUUUACUCUGCCCAGGAAUAUAUUCCCUUGCUGCAAAAUUUUAUCAGAUUUCUGACAAUGCAGUGACCUACAUGAACUGAACAUCAUGCAUGACCCAACACUGAGCAACCAAGCUAUUCUUUUCUCUCUACAAUAUUCCUUCACUGUGCAUUUUAUUUGCGAUAUCUAUUCUAUGUCAUAAUACAGCUUCAUCCAUUGAAACAAGUUCCCUUCUUUUAAUUAACUAGUAAUAGCUCACAUGUUUUGUACAAAAUUGUAAUAUCUUAAAAUAUAUUAUUUUUCAAAUAACUAAUUUCUUUUCAAACUUUAAUCAUCAAUAUCAUAAUAUAGUAUUUUUAUAUUAUUUAUUUUCUAAAGCUAAUUACUUUUAAAAAUUUUAUCAAAUCAAAAAAACAUUCCAAUAUAGUUCAAAUAUCCCUUAGAAUUCAAUUUGAAAUCAUAAACCAAAUACUUUUUCAUUUAUAACUUAAACUUUAACAUAUCAAAUAUUCACAAUAUUAUGUUUAGCCAAAAUUAUAGUAUAUUCAUCACUCUAUUACAUAUAAACAUGAAGGUAAUUUCCAAAUAACCACUUGCACUGCCUAAUACCAACAUUCAUACGUUUUAUAUAAUAAUAAUGAUUGGUAUGUAUAAUAAUAGAAGAUCGAGUCCAAGAAUAGGUAAAUAAUUUUUAAUAAAAAUUUUUUAAUUAUAAUUAUCAAUAACAUUAAAAUAUAAUCAAUUGAAGUAUUUUAUUUCCUUUAAUAAGUGCCACAUUAAAAUCAUAUAAGUAUAAUUUAAAAAUAACAAAAACUAAGAUAAAAAAAUCCUUACAGUUGCACUCCUUAAUAUCAACAUUCAUACUUUUUAUAUACUAAUAAUUUAAAUUACAGUAUUUACCAAUCCGCUAUAACAAUAUUACAAAUUCUCCACUUUAGAUAUAUAGUUGUGCGCCCAUACUUAUUGUUCUUUUUCGUAAAAUUUUCCAAUACCAGCAACAGCCAUCUUACUUUACACCAAAAUAUUCGUUCACCUUAUAAGCAUUAAAAAAGGAAUUCUUGAUUUAAAUCAAAAAGUCUAGAGCUACUAGCAGACAAAAUGCCGCAGGCCUAACAAAGAUUCCUUUACUGCAUGCAUUAUACUGCUAGAUUUGCAACUUCAUGCCUGCCAAUCUCUUUACUUGUUCUCUUUUCAACCCAUCACUCAACUUAUUACUCAUAUUUACAUUUCCUACCACCCUACAAAUCAUUUACCAUUUCUCUCCUACAUAUUCAUCACCUCCUACCAAUAAAUCGCAUUUAGUUUCCUCUGCAAAUACCCAGCACGCUCAAUCUUCUCUUCAAAGUACAUCCUGCUAAACAAUACCCGUAAGAUGAACCCUUCUACCAUGCCUUUGUCUGCUAUUCAUCCAUCCUUGAAACACUGGGGAGUUACUGUCCAGGCAAUUGAAGCAAGACAUGUGAAGUCUAGCUCAAUUCUUCAGCAAGAAUUUCAAACAUUUGUGCUUGCUGACGCAGAGGUAAUAUAUAUCCAAGUCUUCCUUUUACCUUCAAAUCAUCAAACUAACUUCAAUACAAUUUAAUAGUUGCUAAUCACAGGGUACAACAGUCGAAAUGCAUGUUCCUCAGAGCAUUCUCGAUCAAAGAACUAAACUGCUUGUACCGUUUAAAACAUACCACAUCUCUGGAGCUUUGCUUUCCCCGCCAAUUACUGAUACUGCCAUCGGUCAAUAUCCAUUCCAUUUCAUUGCUACUGAAGAUACUUUAAUUGAAGAAAUUCAAGAGGCUGGUCAGCCUUCUCUUCCUCUUCAUUUCCAGCUACAUUCUUUCUCUACAUUAGCCGUAAUUGCUGACACUGAUCAGCUUAUAAGUAAGUUAGCCCUCACACCAUGCAAUAUCUUGUCCACCUGCCAACAAAUUUCUAGCAUCCUGAUUUUCUUUUUAAAACUUCCUUAGAUGUCAUGGGAAUUGUACUACAUGCUUUACCUGUGAAAACUAUCACUUCUGACAGAGAAACAUCCAUUGCUCGAGACUAUGUCAUUGCCGAUCGAGAGUAAUAACCUUACCUGCUAAUUCAUUUAGUUAUUCCAUACAUCAUAUAUCCCAACAAACUAUUCACAUAAAUAUUUAUUCUUCCUGUUUUUGCUAGCAUGAAGCCAUUCAUUUUAACCUUGAAGAAUGACUUCGAACAAGCCAAUGGUCCUGCAAUUGCAGCUGCUCAAAACGAUUUUCCAGUCAUCAUUGGCAUAAGAAUGAAAGUCACAACACAGAACUGUAACCAAAUACCUACUAUUUAUUAUUUAAAAAACACCAUCACACUUAUAAGCAAAAAAAUCUUUUUCGUCCAUCUUGCUGUUCAUAUUUUCUUCCUUUUUUUCCCUUAUAUCCCAGAUCUUAGUCUUUCAACUCAAGAUUCGACCACUAUUUUGAUAUCUCCAAUAGUACAACAAGCAACGGAUCUGCAUCACUGGUCAGAAUUUUUUAGGCGCUCUAUGUUCCAUCAUUCCAAUUACUCUGUUCCACCUUAACUUUUCCUUUCUUAUUUUAGGUAUCAUCACAACGCGCCUCAGCUAGCACAGAUGGUACAUCAACACAGUUAUACUAAUCCGCACAUCCUUCUUCCUCCCCCUCACUACAAUCAAAUCCAUGACAUAGCCGCUCUGCUUCACUUCGUAAAAUUCUUAUACUACUGGCCAAUUUCACAUCUUAACUUCUUUUUCAUAUUUCCUUGUUAAUAUUUCCCUAUUGCUGCUCCUAUUGCUUUUAUUAUUUUAUGUAGAAACCAAGCACCGCAUGGAUUACAGGUGUCGUCGAGCUUGAUUGUAAACCUCAAGAUUUUACCUACAUAGCUUGUCCCAAUUGUUAUCACCCAAACAACUGUUUAGAUGAACGGAAAAUAACUUGCAAAUACUGCCAAGCUAAUGUUGAUCUCCAACCCAGGUACUUAUAAAUAAUAUACCCUGUUUAUCUUAUUCAAUCUAUACCUCCAAUCGCAUGUACAUCACCUCAUUAAUUCCAGGGCUUGCAUUUCCAUCUGGAUCACAGAUUCAACUGACACUCUAUGUCUUACUGCUAUGGGCUCUGAAGCCGAAAAACUAGUUCAAUUUUCAACUGCUGAACUAUUCUAUUUGCAAAUGGAGGUAAGUACCUAUUUUCUUUUAUACAUCACUUGUUUCGGUCUCUUUUUCCCAACAACUUAUUAUAUUCCUUUCACACUUUAUUCUCACCAGAAUAUAAAUAUAACUCAGCAUCUCCAAACAAUUCUCCACGGAAAAAUACUUACAUGCUACGUCAAACCCUCCACAUCAAAGUUCAGAAUGAUCAGACGCUCAGCUUAUCAAAUGAUCACUUACUACACUAUGGAUGAAGUUCACAACGUUGACAACCUCAACAUCAAUGAUCUCAACAUUAAUCACUGAAGACCUACUUAUUCUGUUUUCUAAAUCUACGUUCAUUAGUAUUAAUGUUUUUUUACUUAUCUGUUAAAUAUGCUGUUCAUUACAAUCUCCAAAUUUCUUACUUUCAACUUUCCAAUUUCUUAUUACUUUACUCAACAACACUGGGCAUGCCAAUCUUUCAAAUCCACACCGCGCUUAUGCGCGGUGCACACCUCCUAGUUUAUUUAACAUAUGUAUAAAAGAGCGAAUGCCAUGGCUCAAAAGGGAUGGUUGUUUUGCUGAUGUGGCCAAUAGUUAUUGGCUGGAGUGUGUUCGUCCAACUUGUUCUCAUUUUCCUCUUUUAUUGCUCGUCCUUUUUUCUUCCUAACUGAUGAUAACAACUAACAAUAGCAAUAGCACAAGCGGAGGACAGAGUUCCAUCUCUUCGAUUCUUGCUUCUUCCUCUUCCUUUGUUGCCAGAGAGCAGGUGAGCUGCUCUUGCAAACAGCGGCCCAUGUCAAAUCACACCCACUCCUCUUUGAUUUUUUGUCACAAAAUGUCAAGGUUACAAAAUAUACUAUCCUCUCUCUCUCUCUCUCUCAAUAUUUCUGCCGUCCCUCUCUUUCUUCUCUUUCUCUCAGUAGCUUCUCUCUUUUCCAGUUUUUCCUCUUUUUUUUCUCAAAAAAAAAAUACUCAUGCUUCCAUUUGCUUUGGUAAAUCGUUAUUUGUAUCAAAGAAAGACUUGGAGUUCUUUUUUUCAGUUCUUUAAUUUUUUAGUCUUCGAUCUAACUGUGUAUUUUACUCCCUGCUGUUUUUUAGGUUUGAAGAUAGUGUUCUUUAGAUGGGUGAUAAUACAGAAGAAGGAAAAGAUCUAAGGUAAUGAAGCUUUUUUCUUAGCAAAGAAUUUAGACCUCCAUGUUUGACAUACUUGCUUUUCAUAUUUUUAUAUUUUCAUUUAUGGUUUUAGAGAUUUGAUUGAGAACUUUUUUUUUAUUAUUGUGAAAGGAAUAUUUUCUCUUUUAUUCCAUUCAUUUCACAAUUUUUCCCUCUAUUGUAGAGAGAGCAGAUAGUGUCAACGAAUGAAAGGAAGAUAAACCUGGUUCUUUUAUUUUUGGAAGGAAAAUUGACGGGAAGGAGGAAAAAAGAUUAAACUUUUCAAGGUUUGAGUUUUUCUUUAGUUUAUUUUUCAAUCAUUUUUCUAAUUCUAUGCUAAACUAGACCUCCAAGUUUCAAUUUUCUCUUUGUUUUUUUCCUUUUUAUUGAAGGGUAAAGGUUUUAAUGUCUUGUUUAGUUAUUGGUUUUGCUGCUGCUCGGAGUCUUACUUUGGCAUUGCUUUCCUUUGAGUAUUUGUAAGUGUUUGUGAUCUCUGAGUUUUGUUAUUGUGGAUAGUUUUUUUUUGCCGGUCGAAAGUUUCCACGUUUUGUUUCAUUUUGCAUCAUCCAAAACUUUCUAAUGCUAAUUUCAUUCAUAGUUGGUUUGCCCUUUAUAUUUUCCUCUUACAUGGUUCUCCAAUGCGAUGCUUUUUUUGAAUUAAUUAUCUAUUUUUAAACUUGGGUGCACGGAAAAAGAUAAGUCAACCAAACAAAAGUUACAUAUAGGCUAAUGUUAACUGAAGCAUCUGGUUAUAUAUAUAUAUAUAUAUAUAUAUAUUUUUAUGUAUUAUUACUUCUUCAUCUUUCACUAUUGAAUUUCAAUACAUGGUUUAUUUGUCUUUUCCAUUGUGUUUUAUAGUGAAAAGUGUAUGAAAGUCUGCUGUUUGUGUUGUCUUUGUCUAUCCAGUUGGAAACAUUCACAGAUACGUCAAGUGAUCCAAGAGUACUCGAAAACUACUAAUCGCAUGCCCAUGAUAGUUUUGGUCAAUUUCCCUGUUCUCAUGAAAAAUAAAUUCUUUGAAAUUUCUCAAAAUCCCUUGAAUUGCAUUUUUUCAAAAUGGAUUGUCUCUUAUUAAAGCUGUGGUAUAUGUAUUAUGAAGGUUUUCAUGGAAUUGUGAUAAAGUUUGAGAUAGUGAUAGAAGAUAUGUCUCGGGCUGCAAAGUGUUUGGAGAUUUUUCUUUGAGGACAUUGAUGAUAGUAGAUGUAUUUAGUAUUGAGUGGUGUUGUAUAGCUUUUGAUAGAUUGUUAUUUACCUUAGUUAUGGCCUUAGAGUAGUCCCUCAGUUGUGGCCUUAGAAUCCAGUGAUUUUGUGUAGUGCAUUUGAGUUGUUUGAGAAAAUGUCUAAGUACAAAUUUCAUCCAAUUUAUGGUGAUCUUACAAUAGAACAUAAGGCUAUCUAUAACUGAGUAUUACCAUGCAAAAUAUAGUGAUGUUGCCCUAUAAUUGGGACUGAAAUUUGAAGAAUUGCAGAUAAAUUGUAUUCUCUAUGACUCUCUGAUUGACAGUACCAAGAAAUUUUUAUUAUGACUUUUUGCAGAUCUGCAUUAGCUGCAUCAACAGUAUCCAUGUGGACCGUUGCUUAAAAUGAGGAGAAUUUUGGGUUUUUCAGCGGCUGCUGGAGUAAAACAUUAGAUAUAUGACAUUGAAAGUAGACUGGUAUGAUUAUUUUCUUUGGUUAUAUGAAUAAUAAGAGAGCCAUGAGGAUUUGCGCAUAAAAUUUCUCAAUAUACAUGUACGUCUCUGGUUAACUUGAAUUAUGUGUGCAUAACAUGAGUACUUACAACUGAUGUUUAAAAAUAAUUAAGAAAUCUUGUUUUCAACAUAAGUAGAUAAAGAGCGAACUUGAUUCAACUGAAACGCCCCUCAUCCUUUCAUCUUCAUCAUCAGCAUCAUCUUCGUCUUCUUAUCUUCUAUCUAUCUUGGUGAGAACGAAUGGUCAGAAGAAAAAAUAAUUUGCUCUAAGGUUCUUUCUUCCUCUGCCAAAAAUAAUUAGCCCUUUAAUUUUUUCCCUUUUUUGGUUAGUGAAAUGGGGGGUUUAGUUGUAGCUUGUUGACUAAACUAAUGUUGUUUAUUUUUUUUAUAUUGUAGGAUAAUAGGGCUCUAGAUGUUUCUGCCUCUGCUUGGUUGUCUUCCUCUCGUCUUCUUCUCUCUUAUUUUUUAUUUUUAUUUUUGGUCAAAAUCCUCUUCUUUCUUUCACCCUUUUCCUAUCUAUGUAUGUGAUGAGCAAGUGUUACAGACAAAUUUGAAAUCCUUUUAGGUUUUGAAUCUGAACAUUUUGAGAUUUUUUUCAUUAAAUAUUUUGUUCAUGUUGUUUUCUCUUUUUACUUAUCUGAUCUGAACUUGACCCCUUUUUUGUGAUUGCAGGUGGGAAAAGUUGAUAAUUUCAUGUUUUAUUUUGGUAAAUUAAGUUCUGGUUGUAAUUUUCUAGGUUUUCUGUAUUUGAAUCCUUAACAAGAAAAUAUUUUGUGUUCUAAGUUUCUGGGAUUUCUUUGACAAACAUCGAAUAGCACUGUAAGUGAUCAUAGAGCCCUAUUAAUUUAGAUACUUGUUUUAAAUACCUCUUCCUUGCGUAUUUGCAGAGAUGUUGCCUUUCCUUUUUCUUUUACGAGAACAUCAUUUAUUUAUUUUAUUUUAGUUUACAAAAAUGUCAAUUUUUUUAAAUAAAAUUCGUGUUGAUUUGGUUCUAAGAAGCAAUGAUUGGCUUCUAAUCAUCUAAUGGGGAUAACAUUUUGAGAAUGUUGCCUUAAUUAUAGCAGAUUUACUGGUCCCUAGAAUGGUUUCAAUCUUUGUAGGCAAUAAAAAAUCUGGUAUGAUAUGUUGGUCUUUCCAAUUUUUUCAUUUGUUAAAAAGGUAUAGUUAAUUUUUUUGCAGCUCAAAUAACAAGAAGAUGUUAGGAUUCGCUUGCAUUCAGAUCCUAUUUUCUUAAAUUAUAUGUUGUUUUCCGUACUUUUGGUUAUGUUAUUAACAUAUAUUACUAUAUUAAAGGCGUGAACAAAUCAAGAUUCAAUCAUUCUAAAACCAGUUCAUGGAAUAGUAAAAUUUUUAAGUUAAAAAUGUUAUAUUUUUCCUUUUUCUUUUACCUUUUACAUUGAAGGAUGGUCACUAUUGGAUAGGGUGGUUCUUUAAUUUCAGCCUUAGGCCCUUCAUUAUUUGCAUUCAUUCACUAUUUUCGAAUGGUGGAUACCUUUUGAAUUGUCUACCUCUAAAUUGUCUCAGAUAUGUAUGAUAUUUAUUUUUGAAAUAGCUCUGACAUUUUUCCCUUUUUUUCUUAUACAUACUAUGAUCAUGUUCUGAAAAAACACUUCAAAUUUUUGUGCUAUUGUAUUGUGCAAGGAACUAAAUGAGUUUUACCCAAUCAUAGACUUAUUGUUUCUCUCUCUCUGUCAGUGCCUAUUAGUUGUUCUGCUAAGUUUCUCUAUGCCCCUGGUCUUACUGCAAAACCCAUGUAAAUUGAUUGUGUAAAGUGAUGAUUUUGGUUAUAUGUUGCUUUCAUAAGGCUGAGGAUGUAGAAAUGGAAGAAGGUUAGUGAUGUUGAAUGCACUUUAGUAUCUUUUGUGGGUAUCUUUGAUUAGAGCUCUAUGUUGUUAGGAUGUUUCAAUACUUAUAAAGCUAGCAAUUUCAAAAAAUUUGUAGAAUUCAGUUAAGUCUGUCACAUAUCAUAGAUUUGUUGAGAAUGGUCCUUACUGGGAGGCAAAGAAUUUUGACAGUUUCUUGACAAUGAAUGCUCAAAUUUCUCAACGCCUGUUUAGUUGUUGCUUGAGUUUUCCAAAAUAACUGAAAUCAUCAAUUUCUUUGUUUUCGUUCAUGUCUCUGCCUUUAUAUUUUUCACUGGUGUACAAAGAAUAAAAUUGCAGAUGAAAUAAUGGUUGCGAGGAAUUAAUUUUGAAGUGGAAUAAAGUGGUAUUGAUUCUAUAACACUAACAACUUACAGAGAGGUCUAAACUAACAUUAUAUGUUCUCAAGCGUACCAAUGUCAACAUUUUCUUAUAAACCAACUUUAAAAUUUUAUUACCUUUUUGUAAAACUUUGAACUCAUAUCUUAAACGCCAAUAACUUUUGCAACAUCAUUUUGUUUUGGGAAUUUUAGCUGUGCUUCAGUUCUGCUGUUAGUUGCUCCUCUAUACGUAGAGGUUAGUUUUUCUAGCAUUCUUUUCUUAUCUUGCUACCCUUUUUUUUUUAGUUGUUUUGCAUAUAUUUUGUUACUUUAUGCUUAGAUGUAAAUUUUGGGAGUUGAACUUCUUAGGAAUUUCCACUUUACGUUUUUGCUAUGUUUGUUCCAAUAUGAAAUCAUCAGAAAACUUGUAGACCAAAAUAAGUUCAUUAAACUGAAAUAUAGCUAGGUAAAAAUCAAAGUUUCAUGCAAUUAAUUGUGCUGUUUGACUAUUAGUUGCUGUUUAGUUUGAGCCUCAAAGACUAGGUAAAGGGGUUGUUGCUAAAUCAGUAUAUUUUUUUUUUGCCAGAUAUCAUGCAAAAAGUCCAGCCUAAAUGGAUGUGUAAUCAACUACAAUCGCUGAUGUAUUCUAACCGACCAUAUAAUAAAUGUAAUGUUCAGCUGCUUAUCUUUUAAGGUAAACAAUUAAGUUCAAAGUUACAAAGCAUUAGCAUAUUAACAAACAUUUUGUUGCUUUUGUACUCCAUUAAAUGCCUGCUGAUUGGACAUUCCCAUGUGAGAGAGGCUUGUAUCUGCAAUAACUACUGCUUUGAGCAAUACUAAGCUGUUAGAUAAAAGUAAAUCUGCAUUGCCUUGUUAGCAGUGGUAGCAUUCCCUUUAUUUUUGUUCCAUAUACAAUAAUUUCUGCUUUCAGAUCAAAUGUUACCAACUAGCAGUUGGGGGAAUAUUAGCUAUAGAUUGGAUUGUGGUCAUAGUUAAUGAGGUUUCUAAGAUAAAAUCACUCCAUUACUCCCAAAGUACACAACAAAGUAGAACAUGUGAAUGUCAGUUUGCAAUUUUGAAUUAGUAUUAUACACUUAGAGAGUGGAUAUGGUUUACUUUGACAUGAAAUGGGUAACUUUUUGUAAGUAGUAUCAUACAUGUUGUUUCAACCUUUUCUGCCGUUAACAUAACAUUCUGUUAGAAGGUUUCAGGAGCCAUGUCACUGCCACAUCCUAAUAGUAUUUAGAAAUCAUGUAAUGAGUGUUUAGAGAAGCAACAGUAAGAAAUAGAUAAGAAGCUGAAAUGAAAGAGGGGAUGGUAUGAAGCAUUUUUGUCCUUGAUAAGGCUCUGUAGUGGUUUUGCAAAAAGGUCCAAGUUCUCUCUGGAGGACUUGUUACCUGACAUAUUUUAGUAUUGCUCACAGAAUUUUGAGCUUCCUCUUGAAUUUGUUCAUGAGCGACUCAAAACAAAGACAUUUCUGGUGCAUAUCAAAUCAGUGCAAACACAAUUAGCAGAUGCAAGGCAGCACUACACAGUGAUAAAGUAUUCUAAAACUAAUGACAUUGCCACUUCUGUCCAGUUAGCAGGUAGCGCAAAAAAUGACUCUUUAUCACUUAGCCAUCAAGCUGAGAUUGUGGAGCUCUUGACUCCAAGUAGAUGAACACUCAAUUGAACUUGUAAUACAUACUUGUCUUUUCCUAAAAGCAAGUAGGGAAACUCAUGACUGCAGGAGAAGCUAAUGGUUCUUCAAAAGUUUGCCUUCAACUCGCUGGAAAGUUUGAUGAUACAGAUAAUGUGGAAGGAAAUGACACUUAAAAUACGUACAGCUACUCCACCAAGAAAACAAGAUUAAGCUGAAUUCAUAAUAUUCAACUUUUGUACCACUCAAACUUGAUAGUUUUUGCCUUCUUGUUUUGCCAUUCUAGAUUUGACAGAUUGCUUGGAACUUUUUGAAAGGAUUAUUGCUAUAUCUACAAACUGUGUACAUUUGUGUGUUGUUAUCCCUUAGGCAACUUUUGUGGCAGAGGUUGAACUAUGUUUGGUCUCAACUCUGUAUCAAUUUUAGAUAUUUGUUCAGAAAAUUUUGCUUCACCUCGAUUAUAUUUGUCUUUUUUGUUUGUUCUAUUUUCAUUGUUUGCAAAAACAAGUUGCAUCUCACAUUUUACGUAGAAACAAGGAACAUCUUACAUUAUAUGUAGAAACAAGGAACACCAUAAUGAUCUUAAUAAUCUUCUUAUUAUAUUGUCUUGUGUUUUUUCAACAAAUUACUUAUUUUUGCUGUUUAAUUAAAUUAUAAAAUCACAAAGAUAUUAGUAUACCUUUACAUAACUUUUCAUACUUAAUAUCUAAAUUUGAAUAAUUGGGCAUUUUUUAUCGGGUCUAAAAUUUACACCGCGCAUCGCGCGGUGUUCUCCUCCUAGUAUUAUGCAACUUGUCUUAUCCACCGUUCGUUUUUUAGUUUGUUGCAAAGGCGUUUACAAGUUUGGGGUAAAUGGCAAAUUACUUAGAUUAUUGUUGAGGAAAAGAAAGUUCGGUCAUCUGCGGCUCUGACAGCGGGUUAUUGCAUACUUAUGGGUGUCGAGCUGACACUAUCGGACAUGCUGCCGGGCUGACAGAAUAUAUAUAUAUAUAUAUAUAUAUUUUUUUUUUUUUUUUUUUUUUUAAGUUGUCGGCUACCGGGACAAGGCCCGGUAGCCGACACCCUCUGAGGCACAAAGAUGGCUGCUGGGCUGACACUGGCCGGCAGCCAGUCCAAUUUAUUUUUAAAAAAAUUCCUGAAGCAAUAAAGAAGAAUGCAUUUCUGAAAUGAAGCAUCCACGGAAUUAAAGGGGAAGUAAGAAUUAAACAUAGGUUAAAUUUCUAUGGUGGAAAGUUCACUUUUCUGCGUGCAAUAAACAGAAGCAAUGCAAUUGUGGAGACGCACAAAGAAGUAUAUUGGGCACUCGAAAAAGCGAGUUAUGCAUUAAUGAAAAAUAUUAUAUAUUUUAAAAUUAUAAUAAAAGCCCUCUUAAAAAUUUAUUCAUUAUCUAAUGUUCAAUACUUAUAUUUGGUAAAUUAAAAUAGUUAAUUAAAUAUUCUAUUAUAAUAUAAGUAACAAUAUAUCAUUAAGUCGAUUGAAUAAUAUGUAAGCAGUUAUUUUUUUGGCAUUUCAAGUAGUUGUCUAUUAAGUUUCAAUUGAAAUAAAGAUUUUAUAAUUAUUUGAAAUUAUGCAAUAAAAAAAUCAAUGUAAGAUGAACAUAAAUAUAAAUACCCCAAAUUGUAUGAUUGAAAUAUUUGAUUUAAUAUGUAGGAAAGACAAGAAGAAUGGCAAGAAGUUUUUUAAAAAUUAAUGUGAGUUCUUUGUAUUGGUAAUCACCUUUAUUUGUUAUUUUAAUCAUAAUAUCUGAUUAUAACCGAUUAAAACUCAUCCUAAUACUAUUUACAACUAAAGUUACUAUAUACUCAAAUUAAAAUUUUCUUUUUCGCUAAAUUUUCUUUUAUAUAUGAUGCAUGUUUUAUCAUUUGUUAAAACAAAUUAAAUUAUAAAACAAAUGAUAAAUUUUAACAAAUUAAAUGUUUUAUCAUAAAUUUAUUUUUAAAAAAUUCCAAAGCGCUAAAGAAGAAUGCAUUAUAAAAUUCCCUAUGUUUUGCAGGUAUAAAAUUGUUGAUAAAGGAAAGAGUAAGUUUUUGAAUGGAUAGCUAACUAUUUUCGGCCACUUUAAAAAAAAAAAAAAGAGAAAACUUACUAUGUUCGGCCAAGUCCCCGGCAGUCACCUCUGAGGCAGUGUGAGGACCGGUUCUAAAAGACAUAGUACCGGUUCUUUAAUUCCGUGGAUGCUUCAUUUCAGAAAUGCAUUCUUCUUUAUCGGUUCAGGAAUUUUUUUUUUAAAUAAAUUGGACUGGCUGCCGGGCAGUGUCAGCCCGGCAGCCAGCUUUAUGCAUCAGAGGGUGUGUCCGACAACUUAAAAAAAAAAUAUAUAUAUAUAUAUAUAUUCUGCUGCCGGACUGACACAGCCUGAAAGCAUGUCAGACACAAAAAAAAAAUUUUUUGCUUUCGGGUGCCGGGCCGUGUCAGCCCAGCACCCAUAAGUAUGCAACGACCCACUGUCAGAGCUGCAGAUGACCGAACUUUCUUUUCCUCAACAAUAAUCUAAGUAAUUAGCCGGGGUAAAGGAUACUUUUUAUAUGCAACAACCAUUUAAUAUUUUCUUCCAAUUCAGAUCCACAUUUUUGCAUUUUUGCUUUUCCUUUCCUUUAUUGUAUACAAACUACCAAAUGACAAAUCAACUGUGAAUAAUUGAUUUUAAGUUUUGAUUGCAAGAUCUCAAUUCAUAAAAAUCUAUCAUUCCUACUCUACUAUUCGGUAUUUUGGACAGUAAAAUUUGAAUUGAUCCCCAAUAACAAGUAAAGUAAAUUAUCACAGACAUGAAAACAUGACUCAAUAAAUUUAAUUUUGCAAGACAAAUGUUGUGAUAGACUCAUAUAUAUAUAUAUAUAUAUAUAUAUAUAUAUAUAUAUAUAUAUAUAUAUUCUUUUUCUCUCCUUUUAAUUUAACUAUAAAAAGAGAUGAAUAUAAGUACAUGAUAUCUUUUCCUUUUGCAUAUCUCCAAUGAGUGCGAGAGUAGAUUAUGAGAGGUAAUAUAAUCCUACUUAUGCAUAGUUAUUAUAUUCUUCUGCAAUAAGACUUUAUUUCAUUCAUAUCGAAUGCUUUUCUUAAAAGGUGAUGUUAUAAUGAUGUUUAAACUUGCAAGUUUUCAUAUUUAAUUGAGGAUAAGCAUGAUAAUUGCAAAGCUCAAAUCAACUUUUCAAAAUUGUCGUACGCAAGGCUCAUGCAAAUUAAUUCCUUGCAUACAUAUAUUAUUACAAGAUUUCAAUACUUUUAAGUUUUGAAAUUAUGAUAAAUUUAUCCUCUAUUCAUAUAGCUGAAAAUGCUACUAAAAAAAAUUAGGAAUUCAUAUUGGAAAGCAUAUUUAUCUACAAAAAAUUAGGAUUAGAGGUGUUGGCCCAUUAUAAUGACUUUUAAGGUUCAAUGAUUUCUUAUUUGUUUCAUUUUUCUUUUUUGGUAGAAACUACAAAAAUCUUUAAAAUAAAUGACUUAAGCUGUACAUGCUAAAAAAAAAAAAAGUGAUAUAUUUAGUAGUAUUAUAAUGUACAUCUUAAGCCAUUGAAAGUAAAAACUUCCAUAAUAUUUUUGUACACAAAAAUUAGAAACACAUAAAAAUAACUAAAUCGUAGUAUGAUCUAACUUGAUGAGAGCUCUUUAUCACGGCAAAACUGCACAUAAAUAUCCUUUCUUAGUCUAAUCUAAUUAUCCAAAUUCUAAAACUACUUAUUUUUUGCUAAUGGUAAUGGUUAGAAAAAUAAUUAAUUAAUUUUAUUAUUUUUUUUGUCCAAGUGUCAUCCUUUUAUUGACUACCAGCAUUGAUUGCGCGGUUGUAUUUUGGCGCCUAUGCAUGUGAUUAUUUCAUCGAGUCUAGUCUGAAGUCUUUACAGCCUUCCAAGUUUUCGAGGACUAAGGAAAUUUCCUUAUCCGUAACCAAUAAUGGCAUCUUCAUGUUCAAACCUCUCUUGCUACUUCCCUUCAGCUCCGAAACCAAAACUUCCUCCCUCCACGACCCUCUAUCCAUCUUUUUUGUGCCCCUCCAACACUUUUGGCUGCAAUGGAGUUUCACUUCACAAAGCUGUGUCCAAUUCAAGAAUGCAUGCUAAGUUUGAAAAUUUUGAAGGCCAAGAAAAUCCUGCUGCUGCUGAUGACGGCACCAGUCAUAGUUCUUCUUUAGACACACAAGAGCAUUUUAUUCAAGAAGAAGAGGAAAAAGAAGAAGAUGACAGGUUGGUUUUCGUUUUAAUUACUGAAUUUAGACAAUCCAUGAUUGCCAUGUUGAUAGUUUUAGUGGGGUGCACUGAAUCAUGGAAAAUAUAUCAAUUUUUGCAGAUGAUUUUUUUUUUUUUUUGUAUUCUUCUGUUUGAGAUUCACAUAUCAUUUGACUUAGUUCACAAUUGGAAUUUGGAGGCUUACACUGUAGCUAAAUUGGUAUUUGAUACGGAGGCUUUGGCUAGGAAGAUGAGUGAUUGCUUUUGUGUUUGACGAUCAUUUAUGUGUAACUUACUGGACAAAAAGUUUGCUUAGAGGAUUAGAUCUUGGUUAUAUCAGCUAAUUUAGAUGGUUUUUCAUCUGUAUUGCGCGUUGAUUUCCAGUACUUUAGAAAUGGGAAAAUUUUUGCGGAUGAAGUGGAUGCAUCGAAAACCAGUUGUUUUCUUAAAAGUAAGGCCACUAAAGUGGAGAAUUUUUUAAAGUUGUUAAAAAUGUGAUCAAAUAGACAAGAAUCUAGUUGAAAGAAUCUUAAGGCUUUAAUUUGCAAUAUAACUCUCUGAAUUGUCAAUGCCUGAUUCUUGAGCGGAUUAGCGUAAGUAGAAAUGGCCGGGGUGACUUGCUGCUGAAUGUCAAAACAGUAGAUUUUAUCAAUAUGUUGUCAGGUAAAGUAUACUUUGAUAUAGCUUCAUUCCUAUUGCAAACAAUGGGAGGUUGAAUGUGGAUUUUUCCAGGAUUUCCCAUCUCUAAGGACUCUAUUUUUCUUCAAUAUCAUUUGUAAAAUAUGGUGGAGAAAGUAUAUAUGCGCACACCCACAUACAUGGGUCUUAAGGAAUCAAAUUUGAAGAUCACUUUAGUGAGAAAGUUGUUCAACUGUCUUGACUGUUUAUGCUUGUCGUGUUGUUUAAAUAUAAGAGCUACAUCCAGGCGAUCUUUCUAUUGCUUUCUGUCCAUUUCAAACAAUGUGAACUGGCCAUUUAACUUUUUUUCCUUGUAUCCUUUUACCCUUAAGUUUUAUAUAUAGAAGAACACUGGGGAAAAACCUCAACCAUGCUAAAUCUCUUACAGUUGUUUGCCUUCUGAUUUGGAGGGUGCAGUCCGCCAGUCAGGCCAAGCAAGUGCUACAUUUGUGUCUUCAGGAGGAAUGAGAGCCAUAGUAUGUUUUCAACUUGAUUUACAAUAUUCUGUUAUGGAUGAUAUUGUAAUCUGUGUGACAUUUUUAUCUUAAUUGUAAGGGUGAUCUAUUCAUUUCAUGCUUGGACUGAAUUUAUGUUUCUCCUGUUGCUCAAAACUAAAGAAGCUCGCCAUUCUUCUUAUAAGGUAUAGACAUCCUAAGGCAUUUGAGUCUCAUUAUAAUCUCACGGAAGUUCAAUAUUCUCUUGACAUGUGGUGCAUUAGUUGGCUUAAGCAUUACAGUCUUCUCGCUCCCUAUCCCUCCCUCCCCCACCCCUUGCCCUGGGGUCCCGAUACACAAGUGCAUGCAUGUUUGCCAUAGCUUGUGUAGCUCCUCCUGAACAGACUUCAAAAAUGCACUUUAUGCCUAAUUAGACUUACAUACUUGUUAAAUGCUAAUUACUUAAGUAGAUCGCCUUCCAAACUGAAAGGUAAAAGAAAAUAUACAUCAGAAAACAACUGACGAAAAAGCAACUUACAUAGUAGUUCUGUCCCUAAUAGACUUGUCUACAGCGGAAUAUGCCCCUAUAUGAAAUAGAUACUAAAUUCUGCUGCAUGGCUAGAAUUUGUAACUUGUAAUGGAGCAAGCUUACUAUUGAGUUUGAACUUGGCUGUUUACAGUUCAUCUUGCUCUAUCUUACUUGGGGCUCUUGUUUCUCUUUUAUGCUUGGCAACCUCGUUGUUAGAAACACAUGGAAGCAUGCUGUUGCAAAUUGUCAGUUGAGUUUUCCAUACUUUGACUUUUUUCAUCCAUUUUUCCUCUCAGGUUGAGUUCUUAAUCCCGCAGCUGCAGUUUCUUGAUGAUGAGGGCGCUCAAGCUGAGCUCUGGGAACUCUCAAGGUUAUUUUUGGAUACACUAAUUGAAGAAACAGGAUGUCAGGUUCUCUGCAAAGCGGUUUAAAUAUUUAAUGUCAUUUUCUAUAUGUUUUUAUGCAUAGGUGUAACUUCUUCAAAAAACUGGUUUCCAUGCACUCAAUGUUCAAUGGGUGUUUCUCUUUCUUUAGAUUCAUAUCAGUAAUGUGGGUAUUGAUUUAGUCAUUUAUCUUUGUGUGCUUUAAAAGAAAAUAUUAUCUUUGUGUAUCAUCAACUGUUAAGACUAAGGCUUUUAUUGUCAGAAAGUUAAAGCCAUAUUUCCAGAUGCUGGAGCUACAGCACUUCUUAAAUAUCUGUGGAAAGAUGCUGCUUUUGGCUUCUCCAGGUAGAGUACAUGAACCAUGUGAAGUUUAUAGAGAUAAUGCUUGAAAUAACUCCCAAAAGUCAUCCACACUUUAUGUUUCAUUUUCCUGUUAAAAAAAUUGCAAAUGAUUCAAGGAUAAUUUUUCAAUGCAUUAACUUGCCAACUGGUAUAACAAGAAAUCUCUUUAUAAAGUUGCUAAAAAGUGUCUAUAAUUCAAGGAUGAAGAUGUUCCUUUACAAAGAAAAUUGGAGCUUUUACUUUAUGGAGUUGAUUCAGGACCAAUUGCAUAUCCUAGUAAUGCAUUACUUGUACACUAGAAGAACAUACAGACCAUAUUUUUCCAUUUUUCAACUCCCUGUUCAUCAGACUAACUCUCAUGCUUUGUCUCUGUCUUCUACCUGUAUAGCUUGGGUGACCGGAAGCCCGUAACAAGAGAUGAUGAAAUUGUUGUAAUGGUAGUACCUGAUUAUCAGAUGUUGGAAUAUGUCGAAAGAAUUGCAUCUGAACUAUCAGAUGAUCCGGUACUUAAAUUUAUGCAGUUUUAAGUACUCAUGCAUUUUACAUAUUGAUCUUGUUGAGAUGAUGUACAACUUCUCCUUUUUCCACAUAACUGACCACGUCAUGUAUAUGCUCAAGACAUAACAGGCUUAAGUUUUUAGGCUGGUAAGACCGAGCUUAUCUGAUAGGUUCUUUGAUGAUAACUCUACUUCCCUCCCUAGAAAUUUUAGAAGUGGAUGGUUAAUUCAUCUUCUGAUUCAAGUUAUAAUUCUUGAAGCAAUAGCAUGAAAUUUUAUUGAAAUGAUGAAAACCCUUGAAAUUUUGGCGGAAAAUGUCUCAUUUUCGGGUCACAAGUGCAACAAAUAUCAACUUCUGUAGCUACUAGCUAGAAUUUAUAAUACAGUGUAAUUAACCACAUACGCUAUUUUAAAAAAAUACUAAUAAUAACAAAAAAAUUACAUGCAGCAAUACGCAGCUUGUGACUGUAGGGCACAAUCUUUUUGAAGCUAAUAUCUCGGUGGGGAAUAUGCAAUAGAAGUCCAUUGAAUAUCUGUUUUUCUCCUGUUGCAUAAAAUUUGCUUUUAGUUAUGGCUAGAAACAGUUUGGUGUGCUAUAUCACUGUUUAUUUGACUUCAUAAAUAUGUCAUUCUUGUGCUACCUCUGGGCUAUGAUUUGCUAAUGUCAUAUCAAAUAAAACCCAAGCUUAGAAUCCUUCCUCUAGAGAUCUGGAUUUUCUCAGUCAUGCACUACCAUGAAAAAAGUGAUUUCUUCCAAACAGUGUAGCUACAUUUACUGUUUCUUAAGAGAAUGUUGCAUUGUGCUCAUAUAAAUGAGCUGACUAACGUAAACACUAGCACAGGUUAUUAUCAAAACUGUCUCUAUAACAAAUCAUGAUUUGGGAGGUAUGUGAUGACCUAAGAAAUGUUUUAUGGCACACAGAAAUUGAUGGAUAAAGCAUUAGAUUCUUAGUUUUCCUCCUCUUCAUUCAUUUUCCCCAUCUUUCUUUUCUUAAAUGGACACUGAAUAAUUGUCCUCCUUCUCCACUUGUCUUUUGUAUCCUAGAAUGGUGGAAGACUGUGGGAAAAGAUUUUUUGUAGGUAUCUGUAUAUUCUAAAAGAUGUGCAAUAAGGCAUUUUGCUUGCAUCAAAAGAAUAAUUCUGUCAUACUCUGCAUCAACACAUAUGCUAAUCCACCAUGUUAUGACAUGGAGAGUUUGCUUUAUAAAUGAGCAUUUCCUUACAGUAGUUUUUACCUUACUCUUAGCCUAGGCCUCUUCUCAUGUGGAAUCCACGUCUUGUAAGUGAGGAUGUCGGUGUUGGGAUCAAUGUUCGGAGAUUAAGGAGGAACUUUUUAAGGUACUUUUGAAGAAAUUUCUGCUGAAUUGCUUCUCAAGUUGUUUGUUUUUUAUUCUUUUGAAUGACUACAAUGGUGUAGCUAGGGCAACAUCCUGAAAUUUGUUCCCUGUAUUCAACUUGUCAUAAACAAUAAUCUUAUUGUAUAUCUUAAUCUAAACUUUAGAAAUGAGUCUUAUUCCACUUACUUGGGUGAUUAUAAGAUUAAAUUUACAACCAUUUGACAUAAUCUGCUGUCUAGCUAUUCAAUCUCAGUUAUAGCUGAAUAUAACCCAUCGCACCAAUCAAACUUCACUCUAGUUUACUUUGUCUUUUGCUUUUUCCAUAUUGAAAACUUACUGGCUCCUCACCUCAUUUUGGACACACUAGCACUUGUUAAAUUUCACGUGUUUCUCAUAUAUAACUUUAGCUUCAUUUUAAGUGCCUGAAAAUGUUUGUUUGCUCAUAUUUUAUUUGAUUGUUUUGAUUCCUAGUCUUGUGCUAACCAUUUUGUUGCUAACUGUUUGACAUUGCAGUACUUUUACGGUGGUUUACUCAAUGCGACCAUUUCCAUUAGGUGCUGUAUUUAGAUGUUACCCAGGGUAAGCCCUUAAUCUUCUACAAAGGUGGAUUGGGAUUCUGAUGUUUGUGCUCACCAAUAGCUGUCAAGUAUCUAUUGCCCUUUUGAUGCAAUAAAUAUUCCAAUCUCCAAAUGGAGUAAUGAGCUCUAUCUCAUUACGGAGAAAUUCAAUUUGUCUUCCUGUCCCUCAUUUUAAUGGAACAGUUCCAUUCUCUAUUCUUCAUCAUGAACAUCUUGAAAGAUUGGCUAUUGAAGUCCCAACAUUCCUCUGAGGAACCUAAUUAAGACAGCGUAGUUAGUUGUUGAAUCCUGAGUGUUCUUAUUAGUGCCAUCUAGUUUUGAUAGAGUACGCGCAGAACGGAAAAGGAAAACGAAAAAAGUGAUAGACAAGAGGGGAAGAUGACAAAAUCCUCCUAUUUAAUUUGCUGCUUAUCGAAAUUCAUUGUGGUACACUAUAAGACCAUCUUGAGUAACCCCUCCCUUGUCUUUGCUUUUUGCUGCUUUGUACAGGUUAUGGAAAGUGUUUUAUGAUGACAAGGACAGGCCAAAUCGGUAUCUCCUGGCCAAGGAGUUGAUAAGCCGUCCUGAUGCCGAAGAACUUGAGGUCAGUGUCUCCCUGAAGAACAGAGUUGAAAUAAAUGCAUCAGGUUUCAAGUUUGGUUCUGCUUUCUGCAGAAUUACUAGUAAUUUAGUUUGGUUCAUUUGCUCCUGAGAGAUUGUAAGGGAUUUGUUAGAAGUAAUAUCGUGAAAAAUUAGGAAAGCUGGAUAUCAAGUAAGUUAAAUAAGGGAAAGAACAGAAGGAUGGUGUUUCUUUCUUGGUGGAUUUACAGUGUUUUGUCUAUUUACAGAUCAUCUUUGGAGGAGUGGAAGAGAAGCCAGAGAAAGGCACAUCUUUGUUUGACCAAGCAGCAGGCAUCUUCUCCUCAUUAAACCGAUUCAUGAAAGUCAUUUCAAGAUAGACAUGGUCUUUGACCUUUUCAGGAGCUACUGUUUAGUUAUAUUUGUCUACCCUGUCCUUAAAAUACCUUGCAGUCUAGUUAUCCUUAAAUGCCAUUUCAAGAUAGAUCUGGUUUGCCUGUUCAAAUAGCAAUCUAUGAUGGAAAAUAGAUGUUUUUUCUGCUUCAGCUUUUGGUGAAUUACAUGAAAUCUAUUAACUCUUGAUCUGCAGUAAGCAAACUUUAGUCACUCCUGUAUAUAAGAAAAAUGGCACUCUAUUGUUUCAGACAGCGUUCCUUGAUGGCAAACUGCUCGUUUUCUGAUGGCAUUUCAAAAGCUUGUAAGAAACUAGGCAGCCAUUAGAUGUGUAAAAUUGUAAAUUCUGCUCGCUAACUUAGACGUCCUCGCGCUACAUUCUUUGCCAAAUGACAAGCAUGAGUUGUUAUAGCACUUCUAAGUAAUUUCCAAACAACCGUGGUGCAGAUGAUCAAAACCAAUCUACAUGUUUGGUGGAGACCUUCGGCUGUUGCUUGGGCUUUCGGUACCGAUUGUUUUCAAAUUUGGCCUUCACAAUGAGAGAAUAAAGCAAGUCUGCCUCUGCUGAAGUAUCAUAUGGUGCACCAAUGAUGCUGCAAGACGAAGCAUGUUUGCAAGUGAUUGGUAUAAGUAAAGAGCAUAUGAAAAAAAUGAACUAAUAGUGAAGCAAAGAUCAUUGCACUUCUUACAACUCAAUUCUAGUGAUGACUGAUAGGGUCUUCAUUCAGAUGAAUCAGUUUAUAAAGUUCUAUGGAGCCAAAGCAAGCAAAAAGGGAAGUAGCAUAUGUUAGCUAUAUAAAAAAAACAGAUUCGAUGCACCUAUCAAGUAGCUCUUCCAGAAUGAUUCGCUGAGAAGGUGUAACAAAGUAAAUACAACUCAUGGGGCACUGGCCAACUGCACUCUGCACUUGAUAAUCUUUGCCAUGUCCUAGGCAAAAGUAAAGUCAGAUUCCAAACCCAACAAUCAAUAAGGAAGAACUAUUGAAAUAUUUGUGAGGGAACUACAUGAAUGGAACUUCCUAAGAAAUCUAGAAAGCAAAGAUAUGCUGGAAAUUAACAUUUGCCAAUAUUCUACACGUAAGAUUAGCCAAAUGGUUACAAAAUAUGAAAGCUAGUAGUGGAUGAGGCACCUUGAGAAGUUGCACGAGCAGUUCCUGUUAAAGAAGAAAACUCAAAUGCAUGAGGUGCUCUCUUAACACAUGAAUAUGGACAGCCUGCAGAAAAUCAUAGAACAGAACCUCAGCACAAAAAGGCAGAUUUUAUGGUGUAUAAGCUCAGGUUCAACAAUGUCAGGUACUGCAGUGUGAUUUUUAAUCUGGCAGAACAUAUUGCUGCAAGUAGAUUAAGACAGCUUGAGACAUAACCUAUCAGAAAAAGAAUAUUGACAACUUCACUCGAUACCCCUUAUUCAUCAGAAAAAUAAACCAUCUGCAAAUUAACAUAUCAAAGAUGAAAAAUUUUCUACUGCAACUUUUCUCUGCUAGUGAUGCAUCUGCGCUGCGUACGUUCCCAUGAAUGAUUCUUCUGUGAUCAAUUAAAUUUCUUACUUUUAAUCCUUGCCCCUUUCCACAUGAGAGACAGAUCCCUUUCCAAUUCCCAGAUCAAGUCUUCCAAGGUGCGUAUGACAUAUUCCACGUCAGGUCAUGAGCCUUCCUUCCAAGAAACAACUCACUACCAAUUUUGAGAGCUUGCACCCAACAAAUUCAUUGCGAGAAAGGGUGUCAUGCACAAGUGAGCAUCUUCCAUUUGCGUAAUCAUUGUCUUUCCUCUGCCAAAGUCCAAUACCAUCAAGAUCCCAUAACCUUUUCUUCGUAUCAACUCCAAGACUAGUCUGGUUCUAAUCCAUGAGCAUGAAAGUCGAAUAAUACUAUAUUAGGUUCCUCAUCAACCAUUAUGCACUUGAAAUCUAUAUUGCCAAGCACAAUGUGCCUUUCAUGAAACAAUUUCAUGAGAUGUGCAACAUCGAGUGCCACCUUCAUCCUGGCAUGAAAUGUGAAUCCAUCAUCCUUUAGUACAUGGUCUAGAGAUUUCGUGAAUUUGAGAUCGUAAAGAACAGCCAGCUUAUCAUCACAUGAGUAUCCAAUGAAUUUCACUAAAUUCCUGUGUGAUCUCAAUACUUCAUUAGCAAUACGAUUUCAUCAUGUACUAUAGCUGGAUGCUCUUUCCAGCUUACUUUGAAAAAAUGAAAAAAAUCCCAUGUCUUUAGUGUCGCCUCUUUUAUUUUUGUAUCUUGCUGAAUCUUUGCACUGAAUAAUCUCCCAAACUUUGGUUUUUUGAAUAUCAUAGUCCUUACUCGAACUUUCUGUCAUUUCCUUUUGACUAAGAAUAGCUAUAGUGUUUCACAUCGUUCAAAUCCAUUCCACAAAUCGGGUCAGUACCAAAAAGUUCAUGUCUAUGUUUCUCCAAUCGUCCAAAGGCCUUGAUAAAUUUAGGAUCAGGACAAAUACUAUGACAGAAUAAUACAAGGACAAGUUUCAGGAAGGAUUCCUGGGAGAGUUUAAUGCAUUUUCCCAUUCAUAUAGAUAGCACAUAACUACAUAUAAGACAAAUUUCUUAAGUGGCUCAGAAAGGUUGAUCUCUUGCAAUCUAUUUGCUGUUGCUGUUCCAGAAAAUUGAGUGUUUUCCAAAUUCAUAUUUGAGUACUGGACAGGAUGAAAGUCCUCAAAAAAGAUGGAUUGCAGGAGUAAAGUUUGCUGAAUGUGGAAUCAAACAUAGUAUCCUGAUCCUAGUUUUCAAGUUUACAAAUAAUACAAUCGAAGAUGAAGUGAAAAUGAUAUGAAAUAAAAGAAGAGAGGAGAUCUUUUUUAAUUGGUAUCCUACUUUCUAGUUGGGUGUUCAAGAGAGAAAUAUGAUGGUUUUUGGACUUGCAGCUAACAGAUAAUUUUCUCUACUACAAGUUUUUCUAGGAAAAGCUAGCAUCACAAGAAUUUUUGUAGGCAAAGCAGACAUUUCUCCCCACCUUGUUAUUGGAAAUUUUUUUUUUUUCAGUGUAAUUUGCAAACCAAAACAAAAUAUGUCUAUCCAAGAAGUGGUCCAAGAUACCUAUUCUUAACACCAGGAGUUUCUUAAUCUGUGCUAAAUGUUAUAGGCCAGUCAAAUUUUCACGACUUUGGGGAUCAAGGUUGGAUCAAAAAGUUGUCUUUCCAAAGUUCUGGGCAAUUAAAACGAGGGCAUAAUAUACUUCAACCAACAGUUCAUGGGUCUAAGUUAAACAUAUACUUAACUCAGUUAUAGGAAUUUUCCUAUUUCAGGCAGUCUGCAGUCUGCACCAAUGUGCUUGGAUAAAGUACAUAGUUUCUUUCACUGAAAUUCAGUUCUAGGUAGCUAAUGGACCCUAUUUCUAACAUUUCUGAAGAUGUGAAGAAAACGGUACCUUUUCCAACACAAAGAACCUCAUUAACAAAUACAUCAAAUGCUUCACAUUCUGGUUCAUCGAAUGGGUCCAUACAUUCCCUACAGAUGAUGCAAUUACCAACCAGUGAAUACUUUUCCAUACAUGUAUUACAACUACCAAAGAUUCUGAAAAUACUAUGUACUUAGAUUACCUCUCAAAAAUUUCUGACCUGCUGCAGUUCGAUAAUAUCUGGUCAAAUAUAGAAAAAGAGCAGUCAGAUGUCUCGUGCCAACAAAUGCUACAAGAUUUGCUAAGUCGUAGCUUUUGGCUAAGUGUUAUGAAAAUCACAAGUACUUAGCAUUCAGAGAAGCGUAAUUCAAGGUAUUAAAACAACUAGUUGUACCUCAUAUGCUUUAAUUACACGACGAAUCAUCAUAUCUGAGCUUCCCUUAUCUUGUCUGACAUCAGGGUGAUACUCUUUAACCUGUGUCCACAAAAGCCAGUAUCAUCGACAUAAUCAAACUGAUCAAACCACAAGAACCCCUGUUUCUGAAGAACCACAGAAUCCAGAAUGCUGAAAAAAACAUGUCGUGAAUCGAUCAAUUUUAGUCGGAAAACAUGGCAUACUUUGGCGCGAAAAGCAGCCUUGAGUUCGGCUGGAGUACAAUCAGGGGCUAAACCAAGAACAUCAUAAGCCAAAGAAGUGGAUAGAUGUUCAUCAUCUUUACGGUAACAAUUCAAUCUGAAUGAACAAGAAGAAAAUGAAGAAAGAAAAGGAAGUGAAGUUUUCAAGGUUGGAGGGGUAAGAGCAGAUGGAAAUGAGCAGGUGGAGGGAGAAUUACGACGGUUAACAAUUAUAUCCUUAACUGUUUCUUGAAAAUUUGAUAAAUUUCCAACUGCAUUUUGGUUGCAGAAUAAUGAACUUUCCAUUGGCUUUCUUGUACAGAAUUUGGUUAUGUCAAUCACUCACGCGGUCUAGUAUAUGGAUCAAUUUGCAGUUUAUGUUAGUAGAAGGUAAUUUUGGUUCAGAAAAGUAGCUGAACUGUUAUUGUGUGUUUCAAACUAUGGCCAUGUCAUUCUUGUCUUGAUGAUAUUUUGUGGACCCCAUUGCCUUUCAAUGGAAUAUCCUAUUUAAAAGGAUCGAAUGUUAUCUCCCGUAUUUCUUUUUAAGAUCUCUUCCUUUUUCUUUUUGUCAUUUUCUUGGCAGACUGAAACUCAUUGCUACCAAAUACCAAAUUAGUAAACACAAGUUAGGUUCAGUUGACAAGAACAUAUCACUUUUUUCACAAAAAAUCGUGCAUUCGAAUCUCACUGAUGUGAGGGCAGUGUUAGUAGGCGAUUUGUAAGAACCUCUGUCAGUAACUUAUGAUUUCAAAUGCAUGCCCUUACCUAUAGUAGUAAUCGAAACCGAGCUCAUCCAAAAAUUUUUCAUAAAAAAAAAAACAAAAUACCAAAUUACCAACGAGGCAAGACAUUAAGAAAAGAAAGCAUUGCAUGAUUUAAUGUCAAGUAGACGUGUCAAAAUGAGUGACUUAGAUAGAUUUGAAUUGGUUAAAAUGGAUAAUGGAUAUAAGCGAGUCAACACAUUUAUACCCGUUUAAUUAGAUAAAUAUAAAUAAGUAAGUCAAAAAAUGAAUUGGGUAAUUCAAUCACUCACUUAUAACCCAUUUGUUUUAACUUUUUAUAAACUUAUUUAAAUUCAUUUUUGCAAACUAAGUUAUCAAUUUAUACCACUUAGGGGUGCCCAAAAUUAUCCGCUAACCGAAAAAUCCGUCAUAUCCGAUCCGAAAAUUAAGAUAUCCAAUUUUUAUUAUCUGAUCGGUCAAAAGAGAAUCGAGUACCCGCUAAGAUGCGGGACGGGUUAGGAUCACAUAAUUAAAAAACUCACGGGUACCCGAUCCGCCUCACAUAUAUAUAUUUUUUAGUUUUAUUUUUAUACACACACUAUAAAAUAAUAAUUUAGAACUAAAUAAGUAAUUUUAUUGAACAAAUUGUAUUACAAAUAUGAGAGACUAUAGUUUAUUUACAAGAUUCAUUUGUAGAGGUCAUUAUCUUAUAUUUUAUUAAAAAAAAGUUUAAUUAAUGUGAAACAUAUAUACUAAAAAUUGUGCUACUUAUUUCAAAUUUUUAUUGAUUUUGAAUUCUUUUAAUUUUUUUCCAUUAUCUUAUAUUCUCUUCACAUACUUGUUUCCUGGUGGGAAACCUUUUUUUAGAAAAAAAUUUAUUAAAUCUUAGAUGAAUGUGUAAAAUAUAAAAUUAAAUUGGUAUAUAUUUUUUAAAAAAAAAUUAAAUAAUAAAUGGGGCGGGGACGAGUACCGGCUGACCCAACUCUAUUUCAACGGGUACCCUAUAAUCGGAUACCCGUAGAUAUGCGAGCGGGUAAGGGUCAGAAAAUAGCUGACCCGCAAGGUGCCGGUCGGAUCAGUCAAAUGGUGAAUGUGACGGGUACCCGACCCGCGCCCACCUCUAAAUUAUCACCCUUUGCACCCACCAUUAGUUUUAAAUAUUUACUUAUAAUGCUCAAUAAGUUUAAUUACCAAUAUUUUUUCCAUUCGUACUCUAUAUUACAAAAUUACAUACUAUUUAAAAAUUGAACAAUAAGAAUAUAAAAUUUUGAACUAAAUACUAUAAAAAUUAACAUAAAAAAUUAAUCCAAAAUUUGAAUCCCUAACAUUUUUUCUUGUGUAAAUUUAAAUUUUUUUUUUGAAAAAGGUAGGGAAAAAAGCUAAAACUUGUCAUAAAUUGGUAAUGCUAAAAAAUGAGUAAGUUAACAAACUAAGAGAAAAUAAAAUGAUAAGAUAAAACCAAUAAAUAAUAAUAAUAAUGAAACAAAAGUAGUUAACAUAAUGACAAAAUGAAAAUUUUGAAAAAAAAAAAGGGUGAGGAAAGAGAGGAGGUUUGGGGAAAAAUAAUUCUAAAUGGGUUAAUUGAAUUUGAUGGUUUAUCCAAUAAUAUCUAUUUAAUAAUAUUGGAUAUUAUUGAGUAAUUUAUUUAUACACAUAUACAAAAACUUAAGAUACCCAUAUGGGUGUGUAGGUAAAUUUAGUUAAAUGAGUUUGUUUGACACCUAUAAUGUCAAGUUGUUUUGUGGACUGUAACUGAUACAAGCAAUCGUAUGCUUCCACAUGUGGUAAAUUGAAAGGAAUUCCACCUAAUUAAUCCUACCUGAAUUGUAAGAGUGGACUUUGGAUACCGCAAGUUGUGAAAAAAGAGGGGGGGGGGGGGGGGGGAAGUAAAACAAGAAAAGCAUGAAGAAUAUUUAAUCAUAGGGAGCAUACCAAGAAUUUGUCAUUUUGUCCUCGAAAUAAUAAUAAUGUAUAAAGCGAGAAAAUUACUAUUAACCCCAAGUCGAGGUCAUUUGAAUAAACACCCAUUGAACCAAAAGUUUCAUACUUAGUGAAAGAGCUAUUAAUCAAGAUAUGUUAGAUAAAUAAGAUUAGAGCAAAGGGUUACCGUGGUUCGGUUUGGAAUUAAGAACUAAUUAGAAUCUACUGACCAAGAAUCAAUGAACUAGAAUAAAAACCACAAAACAGAACUAAAAUCGGAACCGAGAAAGUUAGUAAUCAUAGAUAAAUAUUUGUAGUUUCGGUUCUUAAGAAAUAGAAUCAUAACUAAAACCGCACAAUUCGGUUUUGGUUAGAACUAUAAUUUAAAAAUUAAAAAUGAUAGGGUUACUUCGGACAUUGAGAAGAAGUAUUUGAGAUUUUUUUUUCACAUUUCAUUUUAAUUUCAAUGAGAAAAUCAUAUGCCUUUUCUUUUAUUUAAAAUUUUCAGUAAAAUUCAAUAAUGUGAUGGUUUUUUUUAUUAUAAAAUUUACAUCACAUUUUCAUGAUGGAUAAUAUAUAAAUCAAAAUCUUAAUUCUCUUCUAUAUUUAUUUGUCUUCAGUUUUAUCUUUAUUCAAAUUCAUUAUUGUAUUAAUUUAGCAUCAAUUUUAGAAUGGUAUGCAACUAAGGUCCUGUUUAAUAAUUCAAUUCAGCACUUAAAUUUAAUGGAUUCAUAUCUUAACACAUUCAAACCAUUUGAUAAUAAAAAAAUUGAACAUUUGAAUUAAUUAGGUAGUACUAAAUUUUUUAGACAAAAUUUACUUCCAAAAUUAAGUAAUAAACUAUUCACUCAUUACUGAACGUGAUAUAUGCUCAAAUAUAUUAUAUUUAAUACUUAAUAAUUUAGCAUCAAUUUUUUUUAAUAACCAAAAUCAAUGAUCACAGAACUAUAAUCGGAUAGUUUUAGAACCGUGGAAGGGAUAAAAACACCCUCGCGUCAAGUAGUAAUUAUUUUGCUAGGGCCCAAUCCUAUGAGUUAAUGCGUUACCGCUUACCUAGGGCUGCAAACGAGCCGAGCCGAGUCGAGCUUUGAGUUAAUCGAGCCGAGUCUCGACUAAAUUUUACCAAACUCGAGCUCGAGCUCGAGCUCGACGAGCUGGCAAUUUUCGAGCUCGAGCUCGACUCGAAUCAAGUCGAGCCGAGCUCGAAAAAAAUAAAAAAAAAUAUUUUUAUUAAAAAAAAAAUAAAUAAAAUAAUAUUUUUUUCUGAAUAAAUAAUAAAAUAUUAAGGAUAUAUCCGUAAUUUCACUAUGAAAAUAAAAAAUAAAAAAAUAUAUAUAUAAUAUACGUAAUUUUAUUAUUAAAUAAAAAUAAAAAAAAAUAUAUAUAUAUACUCAAGCUCGCGAGCCUAACGAGCUUAAUAUUCUGAGCUCGAGUUCGAGCUCGAGUUUGACUCGAGCUGACUCGAGCUCGACUCGAGCUCGAUUAAUCUCGAGCUCGACUCGAGCUUGACUCGAGCCGCUCGCGAGCGGGUCGAUUCGUUUGCAGCCCUACGCUUACCAUUCAAAGCCUUGCUUGCUUCGCCACAGUAGUAUUACCAAACAUGUGCAAAUUGUAACAAUGAACCAAGCAAAUGGAGAUCUUUUAUAAACAAAAAAAAAAAAAAAAACCAAUAGAGAAAGCUAAAAUUGCAAGCGAAGUAUUAGAUGACAACAUAAAAUUGGUAAUAGUAAUCUGGUCACGUCAGUUGAAGGCAUCCAUCCCAUCCCUUCCCAGGAAAAAUACAAAAGGCAAAAGCUCAUUGGAUUGGGUCUAUUCGAGUUAUCUGAUUCUUUGCCCCCCUUUUUUUAAUGCCCCUUCAGCAUCCAGCCAUGGAUUAAUUUUAUUUACGUCUCCCCCCAAGGACAAAAAAGAAUACUAGUACGUAAAUAAUCAUCAAUACAUUAGAAGUGUUAAAAACCUCAUGCAACAGCAGUUUGAGAUUCUCAAAAUCUCGUAAAUUCAAGCCCAGAAAUGAGAAAAUAAACAAAAAAGUUUGAGUUUUUCUUGCUUUUCUAUCUGGCCCUUGCAUUCUCCGUCUGCGAAACUCUUGUUUUGCUUGCAAUGACGAGUCAGUAGCAGAGAGGGAAAACGGGAUAAAAGAAAGGGCGGAAGGAAUUGAGGAAGCCCUUUUUAGCAAGACCCCUUUUGAAUUUUGGUUAAUAAACAUGGGAGGUAUGGUUUAUUGAUUUUGACUUGUAAUUUUUUUUGCUGUUUGUUCGUGGAUUUUUGUGUUGUUUUUGGUGUUUUGGCAAUUGGGUUUUGCUUGUUUUUGAUUGAUUCAAUUUGAACUUCUGUUAAUUUUGGAUUUUUGGCUUUUCUUUUGUGUUCUUUAUGAUGGAGGAAAGUCAUGUGCAUGACGCCUAAUUGUUUGCUCAUAUACAUUGCAAUGACAUUUUAUUCCUCGCUAAUUCAGGUAAAGAUUUCUGGGUUUUCAAGUUUUAAUAGUGCUGUCUGUGAUCAUCUGAAAUGUUUUCAGAUUUGUUUUUCGGCUCUCUCUUAGCUUCAUGCUUUAGAUCUUGUAAUUUUACAGGUGCAGAAUAUAUAGAUGCAAUUCUGCUCGUUUAGUGAUUCUUCAUAUGUUACCAUUAUGAGAAUUUUGGGCAAUUUUGGUCAAGUUUGUUAAGUUUGGAUUGAACUUGGUCUGGACAAAUGGAGAAAAUUUUGCUAGAGUCAUGUCAAAUUUGCAUAUGUAAAAAUAAAAUGGAAUCUUCUUUCGGUGCAAAAUUUUUCCUUUCACAAAUCCUUCACGCUAUAGGUGUUUCACUCGUGUGAUUUGUACGUUCUAGCUUAUCAUAUCGGAGUUUGUAAGAGAAGAUGGAUACUUUGUUUCUAGCCUUGGUUGUACAAGGUUUUGCUUCUGCUGAUAUUGUAGCUAUAUCAGUUUUCUCCUGUAUAGGCUUGUUGCAAGCUCAUUUUGGGAUUUUAGUGGUCUACAACCGCCUAAUAAGUAGCCAAAGGGGCCCCUUUGGGAUUUUAGUGGUCUACAACUGCCUAAUAAGUAGCCAAAGGGGCCUCAAAUUAUGGCAGUGGUUUCAUGUUUUUGGGUUCUCAUAGUAGUCUGAAUGUCAUGGAAAUGCUGACUCCUGAAGAACAUUUGAGCUCUUUAACCAUUGUCAUCAAAGCUGAUGAUGUUUUGCAUUUUCUGAUGGUUUGCUUCUUCUUUUGAUGUUCUGGAACCUGUAAAGAGCACUCUGAAGAUGAUAAAGUUCUUCCAGAAAUGAACAAGAAGAGAAUAGUCAAAACACGUGCUCAGGUGGAAGCUUUAGAGAAAUUGUAUGAUGGUAUAAUAACUUUUUUGGACUUUUCAUUUUAUGGUAUUUGUUUUUGUCUUAUUAUCUUCACUUGCAUGUGUAACGAGAGCGAACUGUUACUUUUUCCAGAGCACAAAUAUCCUACAGAGGCAUUGAAAGAAGAAUUUGCUAAGUCAGUAGGAUUGACGGAAAAGCAGGUUUCUGGGUGGUUUUGCCACAGAAGGUUGAAAGAUAAGAGAUUAGCGAAUCCUGAAGCAUAUGCAAAUGGAAGACAAGAUCGUUCAAGCGGUAUCUUACAAGAUCGUGGGAGUGGACUUAGGCAGGACUCUUGUGGCAGCACUAAACAAGGGGAUGAUAGGAAUUAUGAUCCAAGAGAAGUUGAAAGUAGAAGAUUAGUUGGCCAAGAGUAUUCUGCUGCAGAUCUCACUUAUGAGCUUGGUAGUCAUUAUACGGGGAAUCAUGGUUCAGCUGAUGAUACAUCAUCUGGAAGUAGCUCUUCUUUAAGGAAUAUGUCCUUUCCUCAAGAUAGGGAUCGUUUUGCUUUGGCAAAUUCAAGAUACCAAGCACAGAGUUUGCCGAUGGACAUAAAGGAGGUAAAACCAAGAACUGGCCCAUCAGGAUAUUUAAAAGUGAAGGGUCAGGUUGAGAAUGCUGCUAUUACUGCAGUUAAGAGGCAGCUGGGGAGACAUUACUGGGCUGAUGGUCCACCACUUGGUGUUGAAUUUGAUCCACUGCCCCCUGGAGCAUUUGAGUCUUCAAUUCAGGAGCCACCCAAUGGUGAGUUAGAUGAACAUCAUUUUUUUUGUUUGCUUCAAAAGUGUUAACCUAUUUUUUUUGAACAAUUGGGAAAGUUUGUAUGGUCUUAUUUGGUGAACAGUUCAGGCUGUACGUGCUUUAGGUGUUGUUAUCAAAAUGCCAUUAAUCAAAUUUAAAUAUUAAUUUUCGCUUAUGCAUCCAACUCAAAGCUAAGGCUUACAGCUUGCGUGGUUUUGCAUUUUUACCAUUUCAUAGUAAAGAUAGCGAUAAACUAGGAUCUGUGAACAUGGAUUGAUUGGUGAAUCAUGGACUUCUUUUUGGCAUGACGUGUCAUGAACUUUCUUCUCCUUUUGUGGAGAGAAUUGAUGCUGUCCUUUUGUGUAUUUGGGUGAAAGUAAAGUCAUGUAAAAGCCAAUGGAAACAAGAAAUAAUUCUGUUCUAGACCUCUGGAUUCAUUGUCAUCUAGUAUGGAAAAAGUAUUGUACCUCAAGUCCAACAUUUAUAUUCUGCUUCCCUUUUUGUCGUCUUGUUAUAAUGUUAUUCCCUCAAAAGAAUAAUAACGACAAAAAGUUGCUUUGCUUCUCCAUAGGUUUUACAUGAAUAAACAUAGCACCUUUGCAUGUUCAUAUGUUUUUCUUAAGUUUAGAUAAACUAUUCUGUCAAACCCCACAUUUUUUUAUAGAUAUCAUUUUUAAGCUAAAUCAUACCAGGACAUCAACUUGUUUUGAUGCAAAGGAAGUUUUUUGUGUCAGGUUUAGAACUAAUUCCCUGGCAGCUAGAUUAAAUAUUGAGGUGGCAUGUAUGUUUGUUGACUCAUUUUUCACAUGUUUUAAAAAUAUUUAGUGCAUUUGAUAUUUUUGAACACAUUGAGUUACGAUUUAUGAUUGCUUGAACUAACUUAAGUUCUGGGACUACCAAAUGCCACUAGGAGAUAUGGAUGAGCUCCUGUUGAAUGUGCCACUUACGAUGUUUAUAUAUCUUUGCUUGAUAGGCCAACUUUUUCUUAUUUUAACUAUAUAGAACACAACCUUUCACACCUAUCUCUUAUUGCUAGAUAAGUACUGAAUUUUCACUCUUAUUCAAUUCUGGAUAUUAAUUGUCUAAUAACCUCUUGUAUAAGAAUUUUUCUUUGAGAUCUUUUUUUACACUCAGGAUUUAGCAUAUUGUCAGUUUUCAGACAAUGGAUUUGAUAUGAUGAAACUGUCCAAUUAUUUUUCUCUUGAAGUGUGCUGAUAAGGCAUUGUCAGACCAUUCUUCUAUUUCUUCUAAAUUUUUAAUGCUUUCCUGUUCCAUCUUGAGUAAAUGCACACAUCUUUUUGUUAAAUGAAGAAACGGCUUGUUCUGUGGCCUAAAUUUACAUGUGCAUCUUUUGUGCUUGUCACAUGAUUGGUUUUGCUUUUUUUACAGUGAAAUUAUUGGCGGCAAUCUGCAGUCAGAGCCUCAACAAACAAGAAGUGUUAGCCUUGAACUGGCAACACCUGUUUUCAACUAAAUGUUAGCUAGAGCUUUUCAUAAAUGGUUUGCAAAGUUUUUCACUUACAGUAAAUUGUUAGUGUUAAUAGGUCAAAUCAGUUUAAUACUUGAAACAACACACUUGAAUAUGUGAAUCAAAUUCUGGUUCUGUUGGUUUAGUGAAGUUACUUUGACAUUUUCAAUUUCUUUCUGUUUUGGUCUAUAAAUACAUCCGAAUUCUGAUGCUCUGUUGCUGUUGAGUGGAUAGUAUACUUUUUUGGCAAGUAGAUCUCAGUUGCUUGAGCUACUCUUUUUGAAUAUCUGAUUUACAGAUUCUACCAAAAUGACAGAAUCUUAUUAUGCUGAAGAAGCUGUUCUACCCCGCUCACCAGAAAAUUCCAUGGUUCACAAGAAUUCUAAUUUGGGCAGCGUAAGUGGGACUACGAAGAUUUCUUGUUUCUUAAUCUUUUAUGAAGAUUUCUUGUUUCUUAAUCUUUCUUUACAUCAAAAGUUUUACUCCCUUUUGUUGUUUUUUUUCUUUUUUUUUUGGGGUGCUGGGGGGGGGGGGGUUGGGGUGGGAGGGAUUAAUAAACUUGCACAAUUUCACCAAUCUGAAUAAUUGACAAAUUAGGCAGCUGCUGUGUUUAAGGAUUGCUCAUGUCCUUGUGGCAAUGAUCACCUGAGUUUACAGCGGUAUUUGAACACCUUUCAGGUGCUUCAUAAUGCAUUCACACAAAUUUGAUUUUCAUCAGUCAAAUGCAUUGAUGUGAGGUAAGAGUGUCACUUUAUUUAGUUGCAAUGGAAACUUCUGCAUUGGCAAAUUAGAUUUUCAUAUUUAUUGCAUUUAUCCUGAAUUAUUUAUUUGUUAGUGAAAUUUCAUAUGAUGGAUUACUUUGCCAGGCUGUAUGCCGUGAAGGCUGGCUUUUAAGACACUGAAUUUCCAGAACAGUCUGUAGUUUGCUCUCAAGAGCAAUGUAAAUAAAGCCAAACCAGCUUGCUUCUUAACUUAGUUUUACUGAUUGUCCAUUGAGAAGUUGUGAACGAUUGACAAUUUGUUCUAUUAGUCUUUCUGUUUGUCUUGAGUCUGCUUGAAUUCUUUGUAAGUUCUUAUUAUGCCUUUUUCACCAAUGACAAACUGACAAACAAGGCUCCUUUGAUCAUGGGAAUGUGUGUUUACCUACCUAUUACUCUAUGCUUGUGUUGCAGUUUGUGUUUUGCAAAAUGUACAAUUUUCGUACUCUAAAUUCCUUCUUAAAUGUUUGUCAAUCUCCAAUUUACAGUUAUCCAAUCACAUAUUACCCAUGACUGAGACUCAGUGAUAUCUUUGAAUACCCUUACAGGGCUCCCAGUACAACCCAAAGGCAAGCUCUCAUGACUCAGACAUGGAGAGAACAAGAUUUAAAAUGGCACAUGGACCUGAUCGUUCUGAAAACUGUUUUCCCCCAAAAUACAAGCAGAAAUCUCCUUUGCACAAUCAUGGUGACUUUUAUGCCGGAAGAAGUUCAUCUAUGGAUAUCCAUGAGGGUUCUGCAAGGAAAACACGUGUUUAUGAUAGCCAGGAUCCUGAUCGAAAGGCUAAGUAUGGUGAUGGAGGGAUGAGUUUGGAUUCUUUUUCAGGACAUCG